rnacentral:lncRNA from 1 species
AACAAUUUCCCUGUCUUCUUUGUCCGUGAUGGGAUGAAAUUCCCGGAUAUGGUUCAUGCACUUAAACCAAACCCCAAAUCCCACAUCCAGGAGAACUGGAGGAUCGUUGACUUUUUCUCCCACCAUCCCGAGAGCUUGCACAUGUUCACCUUCCUCUUUGAUGAUAUUGGUAUUCCCCAAGAUUACAGGCACAUGGAGGGCUCUGGAGUUAACACCUACACCUUGAUCAACAAGGCCGGAAAAGUGCAUUAUGUGAAGUUUCACUGGAAACCAACUUGCGGGGUCAAGAACUUGCUGGAGGAAGAGGCAAUUAGAGUUGGGGGAUCCAAUCACAGCCAUGCGACUCAGGAUCUUUAUGAUUCCAUUGCUGCUGGAAACUAUCCUGAAUGGAAACUUUUCAUUCAGAUCAUCGAUCCUGAUCAUGAAGACAAGUUUGACUUUGACCCACUUGAUGUGACUAAGACCUGGCCCGAAGAUAUAUUGCCCCUAAUGCCAGUUGGCCGCUUGGUCUUGAAUAGGAACAUUGAUAACUUCUUUGCUGAGAAUGAACAGCUUGCAUUUUGCCCUUCAAUUGUGGUUCCUGGGGUCUUCUACUCAGAUGAUAAGCUGCUCCAAACUCGUAUCUUCUCGUAUUCUGAUACUCAGAGGCACCGUCUUGGACCAAAUUAUCUUCAACUCCCCCCCAAUGCUCCUAAAUGUGCUCAUCACAACAAUCACCAUGAAGGUUUCAUGAAUUUCAUGCAUAGGGAUGAAGAGGUAAGAAUCUUCUUUGAAUCCUGCCGCAGCAAUACUCUGGGCAGCAAAUCUGGUGGAUUUUUGGUUGGUGUAACUAAGUUAACAUCACGCUUUCCUUGACAUAUGAAGGCGUUGUGAUGCAAUCUGACAUGUCAAUUAUUGAUCCCAAAGUGGCAGUGCAAAUGUCCUCUCUCCUUUUGUUGUGUGACUAGAUGUAUGUGUGUUUACAUAUGUAGGAAAUACCUGUCUGCUAUUAUGUAAGAAGAUUAUCUGUUGAGCAAAUGCUUAUUUUCCCUUUUGCAGAUAAACUAUUUUCCAUCAAGGUACGAUCCUGUUCGUCAUGCAGAGAGAUAUCCCAUUCCAACUGCUAUGCUGACUGGAAAGCGUGAAAAGGUUUGUUUCCUAGGAUCUCUUUUACUUGAACAGAAAUUGGUUGUCUUGAGGUGCUUUCAUGGUGAUAUUGAUGGGAUAGACUCAGCUUGUCCAGUAGAUAAUCAAUUGAAUUGCAGUUACUUGUGUGACUAGAUGUAUGUGUGUUUGGAUUUUGUUAACUUUUGUUGCUCCAAACAGACCAUCAUUGAGAAAGAGAACAACUUCAAGCAGCCUGGAGAGAGAUACCGAUCAUGGACACCUGACAGGUAUCCUUCAGUUGUGCAUAUCCUGAUAAUGGUUUGAUGGUCUCAUGUUUCUCAAUCAUUUGUCUCUAUCUUCUUUUUUCAGGCAAGAGCGGUUCAUCUGCCGAUGGGUCGAUGCUUUGUCUGACCCACGCAUGAGAUCCGCAGCGUCUGGAUUUCAUACUGGUCUCAGGUGAGAUAGCUGUUUACUUCUUGUCUAGCCUGAUGGAGCUGGAGCGGGUUAAAGUGAAAAAUGUAAUAUUUAACAUGCAGAAAUGGGGGAUUCGGUUGUUGCUUGCUUUGUGAGAUACACACACACACACACAUGCAGAUGUGAUAAUGAACUCAUUUGAGAUUACUUGCAAUUGCAACAGGCCGACAAAUCUCUGGGUCAGAAAUUAGCAUCUCGGCUCAAUGUGCGACCAAGCAUUUAAGGACCAGACAAAGCUGGAUGUUCUGGGAUGGAUCAAGCACAAAAUGAUGUCCGACCUAUAAAACUCUGUUCCAAUGCUUAUUUUUUGUUGUGGUAUAUUGAACUUGCCCUGUCAUACAAACUCUCUGGCAACAUGAUAUUCCUGAUUUAAUAAAUGCCAAAUGCCAAUUGCAUGUGCUGAUCUUACUCCUCUGUGGUUGGUUAUCACUUUCUCCUGAAGUCUCAUCUACAUAAAAUAUUAAGUGAGCAGAUCGUAUUGCCGGUAAUAUCAUCAUGCAUUUGAUUACGGGUGGUAAAUUCAACCUCCUCACUGCUCUCAAGCACAUCAGUGAAAGUAUGCUGUUUACUGCGCCUUCUGCUAUGUGGGACGAGAAGUUAGAAUUAAGAGUUAAUUUGCCUCCAUUCUUUUGACGGUGGAUUGUGCUUGAGUGACAGUACCAACUCAUCGUUCCUGCAAACAAUAGAGUAAAUCGAGUUCUGUUACAUUUAGCAAUGCAGGCAUUAGCUCAUGGAGGACGGCACGUUAGGACUAUCUUCGGAUCUCUGCUUCAUAAAAGGGCAAAUUAACUUGGAAGGUGCCUGAGAGACCAGAAGAUCGAUAAAUCAAUCUCACAAAUAAUUCGAAUGCAUCUCUGUUGAAACGUUUGAUCAUGUGUGGAACUCCAGUCUAGACAACUGUACACACAAAUUUGGCCGUGAAGAGCCAACCCCACCUGCACUGCGAUCCGUGACAAAAAUUUAACAAGAGAACCGCCUUUAGAGUUGCUGACAUUCUACUUGCAAAUUUCUACCGCCUGAGUUGCAUAUCUUACUAAAUAAGUUGAAAUUUCCAUCUCAAUAAGUCCUCGACACCGCGGAUGGGGAGUAUUGACUUUCAGAUCCACGAGACUGUCGGCACUAUGAUUGUGAUGAAUUGGUAAUCAAUGGUGGUUGUGAUGAUGCUGGUGAGAAGAAGGUGGACUCGAUGCGCCAGCCUUGGUCUCCUUCUUCUCCCGAAUGGUGUUGAUAUGUUCUAAUGUCGCCAACACUUUAUCCAUCGAGGGCCUCGCUUUAGGCUCAUCCUCCAGGCAUUUGAAGGUGAGCCCAGCUGCCUGAGUUGCAGCUUCCAGAGGGUAUCGUCCUUCUAAUCUCGGAUCCAUUAUCUUCCUCAGCUUCCUCUUGUUGUGGAGCAACGGCCUUGCCCAUUCCACCAGAUUCUGCUGGCCGCUGGGGCGGGUAUUGUCGAGCGCUUGUAAACCCGUCAACAUUUCUAGGAGAAUCACCCCGAAACGGUAUACAUUGUUCUUCACAUACAGAUGUUCUGUCAAAUUGAGCCUUUAUCAUUCUGACAUGCAUUUUUAACAAUCACAUGAAAUCUUCGCUAAAGAUGAAGAAGCAUAUGAGAGGGAGAUCUCUAUGAACAGCACAGCAAUAAGAUCAUUUCGCAGAACACCUGCCAAGUAAUCUCGUAAUCUUCUAAAGAGCAUUGUUGUCACCGAUCCAAAAUCGCCCGCGGACAGGAUCUCUGUAUUACUGGUGGCAGAGUACUCAGGAGCCGCAUAGCCAUCCAUCUCGAUCGCUCGGGUGGUCACAUAAGAGUUCCCACCCACUGGUCCCUGUUUUGCUAGCCCGAAAUCCGAGAGCUUGGCAUUGUAGUCCUGGUGCCACAACGAGAGAAAGUGAACGAAGUUUCUCAAUUAAUCCCCAAGAAUGGUAGUUCUACAUCCGGGUAUCAUCUAAUAAUCACAGGCAUUUAUCAAGUAAAUUCCAUUCACAUGGACCACGUGAUCUAAAGACUCCUCCGCAUAAAUCUAAAGUAUCCGGUGCAUCAAAUGUACCAAGACAAUACCAACCAAAAUUGAGAUGCUUUAAAGUGAAAUUUGAGCUUUGUAUAGUUUGAGGCGAUGUGGGCAACAUUUAUAUGGUAUCCUUAAAAAUAAGUUCUCAAUAGCUGGAAAAAACAAAUGAAAAUAAUCAAGUAGAUAGAAAAAUUUACCUCAUCCAAUAAUAUAUUGGAAGAUUUAAAAUCCCGGUAGAUGACGUUAUUCUCGGGUGUACGCAAGAAUUCAAGCCCACGGGCAGCUCCGAUGGCUAUUUUAAGCCUCACGUCCCACGGAAGUGGUCCAGCUUUCCCUGAAUUACCAUGAGCAUUUUUUUUUUCCUUUUGCUGUCUGAUAUCCGAGUGAAAAAAAAAAGGUGAUGCUUAGCAAAAAAAAAAGCCGGUAAUGCAAAUGAUCUUACUUUUGAAAAGGUGAUUUUCUAGGCUUCCCCUCUUCAUGUACUCGUACACGAGUAGGUAGUGAUCGUCUUCCCAGCAAUACCCCAGUAAUCUCACCAAAUUUGGAUGAGAAACUUUCCCCAAGAACUUGACUUCCGACUGUGGAAAGAUAACAAAAAUAGAAUUUAUUGUUAACCAACGCACAUAAAAUUGUGUCGAAAAUUUCGCCAUCUUUUGCACGAGCUAGUGUGAGUUCAAUAAAUUAUGUGCAGCAAUUUGUGCUUUUUACUAUACUAGAAAGUAUGUCUUUAUAGGCCUAAAUCAUAGGGAAAAUUUCGGAGUAUGGUCUAUAACGGGACUGUUUUCUCAGAAAAAUGAUUCAUCAUAAAUCUUGUGUUAAAUAAGGUCAUGAAAGUCUCAACUUAGUCACAUAUAAGACCGGAGCUUACCAGUUGGGUAGAUCUUUGUCAAAGGGCGAGCCCAUGCAUCUAUAUGCAUCUCUCUUGCAAAUACAUGAGCUCAUUGGUAUUGAAAAUUUGGCCAACCAGUAAGUUAGGGUCUAACCAAACUUGCAACCAAACUUGCCACCUUAAGGUUUUAUUUGAGGUAUAAUUCAUCUCAUUACUUUAAAAAAAAAAUGGUCUCAUUUCAGAUUUUUAUUUGAAAACUUAAAUGGUGUGGUUUGUUUCAAAAGGACAGGGUAAAUUAGCAGGAGGUUGGUCAGAAGGCAACAGAGCACAAGUAAUUAUUAAUCCUUACUCUAGUCAAUAUGAACUCUCGAGUCUGAGAGUCGGGUUUCCGGCGCCCUCCGAAGCGGAAACAAUUUAUAAUUGAAAUAUUUUUUGGUCAAGAAUUGGACACAAAGAAAAAGAACUUCACAAUUAGUUAAAAGGAAAUCACUCAUUUCGAAAUGACCUUUUCAAUCCGGAAAAAAAGAAAAAAUCUUUAGUAUGUCCUCUCCCCCUCUUACUGAAGGAGGGGUCAACUGUUGCAAAUUGUCCAGGUCGUCUUUGGCUUCUCAUCGCUGAUUAGCAUGUGCUUUAUUUUCAAUUCGAGUGAGAAGCAUUGUGUCGUAUGGAUCGAGCGGGAGAGGAUGGAAUUUUAGUAUGAAUGUUAAGUACGCACCUGCCAUUGGCGCAAGCCCUGAUCGCCGUUGAGAUUGGACUUCUUGACGGCCACCGGGAUGCCGCUGCCGACCUCGGACGGGGCGAGCGUCCUCUCGUCCACCCAGCCCUUGAACACCCUUCCGAACCUGUCCUCCCCGAGCAUCGUGUCCGGCCUGAAGUUCCGGGUCGUGCUCUUCAGCUCCGCCAGCGUGUACAUUUUGAGGUAGGGCGUUAUCACCUCCCCGACUUUCGCCGUGGCUGGAGGUUCAUCCUUGCCACUGCCACUUGCCGCCGCCUUCUUGUUCUUGCUUCCCACCAACGCAUCUCGCUUUACCUUUGGGUUCUUAGCAAGAGCUUCUAUAAAAUUACCAAAAAAAAAAAAAAAAAAAAGAGGUGAAAUGUGAACUUAGCUUACAUCUAUCGGAAAGUAACGAUAAUAAAUAGUAGAUGAAAGUAUAGUUUAUUAUUUAAAAUUUUUAACACUCUCUCUGACACGUAUUUUUUUAUUCAUUUCCAUUAAAAAGAAAUGGAUAAUGCAUUCCAACUACUAACCAAAACUAAUCCCAAGCAAUUUCAAAGCAAAAUAAAUUCCAGUAGUAAAGUUUGUGGUCACAUGUUCAAAGAGCAGAAUUAUAACUUCUUCAAAUCAAAAUCGACAGCCGAUUACCAAAUUCGUUUCUUGCAAUGAGCACACAUCAAUAACUCUAUUUAUUACUAAGAUUUUGCCUUUCGAAAAUGUAUGCAUAGAUUUAGGUCCCCAACACGAUUGUUGUUCAGAUUAAGAGAGCAAACUACUUCAUGAAAACUGAAAACAUACAUACACAAAAUCUAGUAGUCGGACUAAAAAGACUUGAACUCAAGAGUUCUCACUUGGAUAUUAUAAACAUAUUAUAUUAUCAAUCCUAUAUUUUUCAACGACAACAACAACGAUUAAGCAAACGCUUCCACAAACUCUCUCCCUCUCCAUAUAUGUCUGUUUUGACAUGAAGCGGUUCUCCCUUUCUUAUUUCGGUGGGUGAAUGGUAGCCGGAGAGGGUUGUGAGGUUCGAGGAAAAAGAGAAGCAGCCGCCGAGAAGCUAAAGAAAAGAGAAACAAAAUCGGCUCGGUGCCAGCAACCACAAGGUCUUGACUUUUCUGCUUCCAUCUCCGUCAAAUUACCAAAAACAUUAUAAACAUAUUAUAUUAUCAGUCCUAUAUUUUUCAAUUAAGUUAAUUUAAUCCAUUCAAUCAAUUUUGAUUGGAAAUCAUUGACAUGUAACAGACAUUAGCGUGAAUAAUAUUUUAUUUUUUAUUACUAGAUUUGACAGUAAAUUAUGAGAGAUUUAUAUUCAUUUGCACUGAUAUAUCAUAAAUACCAAACAAUUGACAUCAUAUUAUAUGAAAUUAUUUGGUGUUAUUACUAUAAUUUACCAUACAAUAAAUAUGAUAUAACAAAAUAUCUUAAUUAUAUAUCAUAUUUUAUCAAAUCCUAAUUUGGUUAGAAAUUUAAACGAUCAAACGCAAUCAAUAGGGGUGGAAGAAGUAUUUGACUAGCGCUUGAGAUAAUGAAUUUCUCUUAUACCAAUUACAAAAAUUGAAUAUCCACAGAAGAAAGAAGGCCCUUACUUUGAGACGCUGGCGGUCCUGUCAUAGCUUUCCUUCCAAGUUGGUCAGAAUUUAGGCCCAAUUUCCGUUUCCGCUUUUCUGCCUGCCGAAUAGGCAUUUCCCAUCUUUAUCAACCAAGAAAUAAGAUGCUGACAGGGAGAUCAAGCCUACUUUUGCGACUAGAACAAAUGAUUGGCUGAAUCCAGAAAGCAUGUAUGCAAUCCCCACAUGAUCUCGAACCACAUCGUCCCCAAUCGAUUCUUUACUAGAAAAGAGCAACGCUCACAAAAAAGAACUCCUCACCUUCUCUCCCAUCCCUCCACUCCUGGUGUCUGAAUCAGUUCUGGCCUGAGAGAAAGGCGCGAAGAGCACCGUUCCUGGGAAGAAUGGACAAGAACCUGUCUGGAUCCCGAUAGAAAUAUCAUUAAUUCCAUCGGAGUUUUUACUAAAUAAAAAGGUCCACCUCAGUCAGCUCGUGCUCACAAAAACGAAGUACUCACAUUCGCUACACUCUCGGUGUCUGAAUCAGUGCUGGACGGAGAGUGCCAGUUGAACACCAUUCUCGAGAAGGAUCGGCAAAAAUCUAUCUGGAUCAAUUCUGAAACUGACGGGAAUUUAGGAUCCACAGCAACGAAGGUGUGGCAGAUAUAUGUGAGUUUCCAGAUUUGCGAGGUACGCGUUCUGAUUCUGAUGCAUCAAGAGGGAUGGAAACUUACUUGUUGAAAUAGACAAUUGAAAGGAAAAAGAAAGGAAGUGUGCUUUUUCGAAGAAACUGCGGAAGCGGACUCAGUCAACCUGGGCCGAAAUUUGUCACUCCUUACAGGCCGGGCAUCAUUCAUGUCCUCUCAUUCUGAAGCUUUUGUAGUCGAAGUAAGGGUGUUUUCGGAAGGGGGAAAAAAGGUACGGGUGUUUCGUGGAAAUUUCUCCACGGAAGAAAUAUCGUUAACCGAAAAUAAUUGAGACAGGUUUUGCACCAGACAGGAAACAUUACAAGUGACUAAGAAAAUUAAUAACUUACUGCGCUGGAAUUUAAUCAUCAAUAAAACUUGAAAACAUAAAGAUAUUACGACAUAACACUAAGGAUAAAGAUAUACGCCAUAAUUUAAUUGACAGUGCAUAUUUGAAAACUACAACUAAGAAACAAGCCAGGAUUUAAUCGACAACACAAAUUGAGAAAAUAAAAGUAAAGUGCAAGUAAAGUAAUUUUGUUUAAUUUAUACAAGAGGCUUCUAUUAGACGAGCGAUGAUAUCUAUAGUGCAUAUGCCAUAUUUGUUCCUCAGCAGUUUUUUAGCAAUUGUACCCAUGUUCCUCUAUAUUCAAAAAUCCUGUGCCUAGAUUCUCACGAGGCCAUGAUCUUAUCUUCAUAUUGUCGUUUCUUUAAAAAUGGGUGCUUAUUGUUACUGGACCUUAAUCACUUCGUUUUUCAAAAACUUCAAAUUUGUACCUAUAGCUUGAUGCCCCUUAUAUGUUUAUCUUUCUCCUGACACCUUGAUAACUUGCCAUUCUUGCUUAAUCGACAUCCUUAUCAAUUGUUAUUAAUCAUACAUUAUCCUAUAUCAACAACAAUCGGUGACAAAUCUUCGAUGUGCACCAAUACCAAUACCAUGUGGUCAUCAACGGUGGGUCAUGUGCUUGACAAUAUUUGAUGCUUCAAUCGUGUGUCUACUCAUAUCAACAACCCGGUUUUUUUUUUUUUUUUUUGUGUGCAAAUAAAGGGAAGUUGAUGACUUAAUCUUGAUUGGUCCCAGCUCACCAACAGCACAAAUCUUCACGAUGAUUAUGUGCAUGUCAUAUGCCAUAUUUCACGCCAUGGUCGAGGGCAUUUUUAUCAUAAAAUUCCUUUUUUUUUUUUGCCAAUUGGGGAGGAUUAUAAAAAAAGUCCUAAAAUUAUUGUAAUUAUGUCAAUUCAGUCAUAAACUUUUUUCUAAUUAAAUCUUAAACAUUUUGUAUUUGUACCAAUUUAGUUCAUCUGAUCAAUUUUGGUUAGAAAUUAUUAACAUAGAUGUUAGCUCAGUAAGCAUUAAUAUGGACAAUUUUUAAUAAUAUGUUUUUUAAAAUUAUUUAUUAAUUCUUUUCUUUCCUUUAUUUCGUUCCUUUCUUCUUCUUUUUUCUUUCCUUUUUCUUCUUCCUCUAGUCAAUCGCUGACCACUAGCUAGAGGCAAGGGCGACUAGGUCGACCUCGCUGAUUCUUGCAAGGUUGAGCCUCGCAGGUCACCUCACCUCCGGCUAGUCGUUGGCUUUCAUUCCGAGUCAAGGCAUAUUGGAGUUUUCUGGCUUUUCAUCCUUAUACAUCAUUCUGCUGUUGGUGUGCAGCCGUUAGCAUGUGCAUAGGAAGAAAUUACUCGGUGAACUACUCUUGAGUCAAGGCAUAUUGGAGUUAAAAAUAUGCAGAGAAAAUUAUCCAAAUUCAUCAAGACACAAUAGAACCUAAUUUUAGAGUAAUGCUAAGCGUGGAAUAUGCUAAAGGCAAACUAUCAUCUACGUCACAGGUCCAAUUCUUCUUGACGAUUAUCACCUUGUGGAGAAACUUGCCAACUUUGAUAGGGAGAAAAUUCCGGAGUGUUGUCCAUGCCAGGGGAGCCAGUGCAAAGGGAUUCUUUGAGGUCACUCAUGACAUUUCUCACCUUACUCGUGCCGAUUUCCUUCAGGCACCAGGAGUUCAAACACCUGUGAAUGUCCGUUUCUCCAUCCUCAUCCACGAAAGGGGUGGCCCUGAAACCCUGAGGGACCCUCGGGGUUCUGAUGUGAAGUUCUAUACAAGAGAGGUAAGGGAGACAUGAAUGUGCAGCAUGGACGAGCACGAGUAUGAUGCUCCCUGUGAUGAAUCCUUUCACAGGUGGCCUAAACUCAACCGAUGCAUAUCGCAGUUCUCUUGUCCACAUUGCAUACAUUUGUUUUGCUGCACUUUGCUGUGUGAUCUUACCUUUUCCGUUACUACAGGGUACCUUUGAUCUCGUGGGAAACAAUUCCCCGUCUUCUUUAUCAACGAUGGGAUGAAAUUUCCAGAUAUUUUUCAUGCACUUGAACCAGACCCCAAAUCCCACGUCCAGGAGAACUGGAGGAUCCUUGACUUUUUCUCCCACCAUCCCGAGAGCUUUCGCAUGUUCACCUUCCUCUUUGAUGACAUUGGUAUUGCACAAGAUUGCAGGCACACGGAGGGCUCUGGAGUUACACCUACACUUUUAUCAACGAGGCUAGAAAAGCGCAUCAUGUGAAGUUCCACUGGAAACCAAUUUGCGGGGUCAAGAGCUUGCUGGAGGAAGAGGCAAUUAGAGUUGGUGGAUUCAAUCACAGCCAUACAACUCGGGAUCUUUAUGAUUCCAUUGCUGCCGGAAACUAUCCUGAGUGGGAACUUUUCAUUCAGAUUGUCGAUCCUGAUCAUGAAGACAAAUUCGACUUUGACCCACUUGAUAUGACUAAGACCUGGCCCGAAGACAUAUUGCCCCUAAUGCCAGUUCGCCGCUUGGUCUUGAAUAGGAACAUUGAUAACUUCUUUGCUGAGAAUGAACAUCUUGCAUUUUGCCCUUCAAUUGUGGUUCCCGGCGUCUACUGCUUAGAUGAUUGGCUGCUUCAAACUCGUAUGUUCUCAUAUUCUGAUACUCACAGGCACCGCCUUGGACCAAAUUAUCUUCAACUCCCCCUAAUGCUCUUAAAUGUGCUUAUCACAAUAAUCACCACGAAGGUUUCAUGAAUUUCAUGCAUAGGGAUGAAGAGGUAAGAAUUUUCUUUGAAUCCUACCGCAGCGAUACUCUGGGUCGCGUCUCUUGUGGAUUUUUUGUCGACGUAACUAAGGCAUCACGCUUUCCUUGAAGUAUGAAGGCGUAGUGAUGCAAUCUGACGUGUCCAUUACAGAUCCCAAAGUGGCAGUGCGAAUGUCCUCUCUCCUUGUUAGCGGAGGAUUACUUUUUUUAUCUUGCAAAUGCCCUUUGUGUCUGAAACAUGCACACUUGUUUACACAUGUGGGAAAUUCCUGUCUGUUAUUAUGUAAAAUGAUGGAUUAUCUGUUGAGCAAAUGCUUAAUUUCCCUUUUGCAGAUAAAACUAUUUUCUUUCAAGGUAUGAUCCCGUUCGUCAUGCAGGGAGAUAUCCAUUCCACCUGCUAUGCUGACUGGAAAGCGUGAAAAGGUAUGUUUCAUAAUCCUAUUUUACUUGAAUAGAGAUUGAUUGCUUGAGGUGCUUUCAUGUUGGUAUCGAUGGGAUGGACUCAGCUUGUCCUGUAAAUAAUCAAUUGAAUUGCAGUGAGUGGUAUGACCGAUGUAUGUGUGUUUGGAUUUUGUUAAUUUUUGUUGGUCCACACAGACUAUCUCUGAGAAAGAGAACAACUUCAAGCAGCCCGGAGAGAGAUACCGACCAUGGACGCCUGACAGGUAUCCUUCAGUCGUGCAUUUCCUGAUAAUGGUGUGAUGGUCUCAUGUAAGAGAAGUUCAUCUGCCGAUGGAUCGAUGCUUUGUCUGACCCACGUGUGACUCAUGAGAUCCGCAGCAUCUGGAUUUCAUACUGGUCUCAGGUGAGACAGCGUUGUCUAGUCCUGAUGGCAUGGGUUGAGGUGAAAAAUAUAAUAUUCAACAUGCAGAAAUGGGGGAUUCGGUUGUUGCUUGCUUUGUGAUAUAUAUGUGUGUGUGUGGGUGUGUGUGUGUGUAUACAUCCAUGCAGAUGUGAUAAUGAACUCAUUUGAGAUUACUUGCAAUUGCAACAGGCCGACAAAUCUCUGAGUCAGAAAUUAGCAUCGCGGCUCAAUGUGCGACCGAGCAAUUAAGGACAAUACAAAGCUGGAUGUUUUGGGAUGGAGCAAGCACAAAACGAUGUCCGAGCUAUAAACUCUGUUCCAAUGCUUAUUUUUGUUGUGGUAUAUCAAACUUGCCCUGUCAUACAAACUUUCUAGCAACAUGAAAUUCCUGAUUUACUAAAUGCCAAUUGCAUGUGCUGAGCUCGUCAAAAAGAUCUAAUCGCUUCAGGAUCACCGAGGUUGAUGCUUCCCAUAAUUUCUUAUGCCCAUAUAGCAAUUUGGGUUUCCAUCAGUCGAGUGCUUCAAUUUAAAAAGUAAGUUUUUUUUUUUUUUUUUUUCAAGUUAAAAAGUAUGUUUCGCCUCAUUGUUUCAAGAAAUCCAAAUCUUCAAGAGAUAAUUUUUUUUGGAACUCCUUAUAUAUGAGGUAAUGAAUCCAACCAAUCGCCACUAGUCAUUGCAUGAGUAGUUGACUCAUUUCUAGCCGUUUGAUAGAACACAUAAUGAAGGAAAUAAUUAAGCCACAAUUCUAGUUCUAAUUGAUAACAUCUGAUCACAUCCAAUCAGACUUUCCACUUGAAAAAUAAUCAAAGUCUUUAUUUUGGAUAAGUUUGAUCAAUCUUCAAAAUCAAUUUAGGAAAUGUCCUCAACACAAACAUGAGAGUAAAUCGAGUUUUAUUACAUUUAGCAAUGCAUGCGUUAGCUCAUAGAGGACGGCGCCUUAGGACUAUCUUCGGAUCUCUGCUUCAUAAAAAGGCAAAUUAGCGGGGGAGGCGACUGAGCAUGAGCGGGGGAGGCGACUGAGCAUGAUCACCAUAUAUGGAUUUCCUUUUCUUUGUUCAAGUUUCUCCUUUUGUCAUCCUUCUGUAAUAUUAUUAUCCCUGAUCUUAUAAGAUCAGAAGAUGAUCUUAUAAGAUCAGAAGAUCUUCGAUAAAUCAAUCUCGCAAAUAAUUCGAAUGCAUCUUUGGUGAAACUUCUGAUCACGUUUGAAGCCCCAGUCUAGACUAAUGUAUACACAAAUUUGGCCGUGAAGAGCCAACUUCUCCUGCACUGCGAUCCUUGACAAAUAUUUGACAAGAGACUAGCCUUUACAAUUGCUGACUUCCUACUUGCAAAAUAUUUAUAAGUUAAAUCUCCAUCUCAACGAGUCGCCGACAUCAGGGCUGGGAAGUAUCAACUUUCAGAUCCACGAGGACUAUCAGCACUGUGAUUGGGGUGAAUUGGCGAUCAAUGGUGCCUAUGGUGAUGCUAGUGAAAAGGAGGCCCACUUGAUGUGCUUGCCUUGGCCUCCUUCUUCUUCUCCCUAAUGGUGUCGAUAUGUUCUAAUGUUGCCAGCACUUCAUCCAUCGAGGGCCUCGCUUCAUGAUAGCCCUCCAGGCAUUUGAGGGUGAGCUCAGCUGUCUGAGUUGCAGCUUUCAUAGGGUAUCGAGCUUCUAGUCUCGGAUCCAUUAUCGUCCUCAGCUUCCUCUUGUCGUGGAGCCAUGGCCUCGCCCAUUCAACUGGAUUCUGCUGGCUGCUGGAGCAGGUAAGGUGGAGCGCUUGUAAACCCGUCAACAUUUCUAGUAGAAUCACUCCAAAGCCAUAUACAUCACUCUUCACAUACAAAUGUCCUGUCAAAUUGAGCCAUUGUCAUUCUGUCACGCAUUUUCUAAGGUCACAAGAAAUCUUUGCUAAAGAUAAAGAAGCAUAUGAGUGGGAGAUUUGGCGAACGGAUAUUGUAGAAAGAUCAUUUUGCAAAACACAUGCCGAGUAAUCUCCUUAAUCUUCUAAAGAAUGUAGUUGUCACCGAUCCAACAUUGCCUGUGGAGAAGAAAGAUGGGAUCAUUGUCUUACCAGUGGCAAUGUACUCAGGAGCGGCGUAAACAUAUCUUUCGAUCACUUCUUCUUCUUCUAGCUUUGUCACUCGAGAGUCCUCGCGUGCCGGUCCCAGCUUUGCUAGCCCAAAAUCUGAGAGCUUGGCAUUGUAGUCCUAGGGCCAAUUUCACAAACGAGAAAAAGUGAACAAAGUUUUAAAAUUAAUUCCCAAGAAUUGUAUGUAUCAUCCAAUAGUAACAGGCAAAAUCCCAUUCACAGGGACCACAUGAUCUAAAUACUCUUCCACAAAUUCUAUAGUAUUCAAUGCAUCAAAUAUACCAACGCGAUAUCAACGGAAAUUGAGAUGUUUUAAAAUGAAAUUUGAGCCUUUUUUUUUUAUUGUUUAUUAGGUGCCAUGGGCUAUAUUUAUACAGGUGUUCUUAAAAUAAGUUUUCGCCGAAGAAGCAAACAAAAAUAAUCAAGUAGGUAAGAAAAAUUUACCGCAUCCAGUAGUAUAUUGGAAGAUUUGAACAGCCCGUAGAUGGCGUUAUUCUCGGAUGUAUGCAAGAAAUGAAGCCCGCGGGCAGCUCCGAUUGCAAUUUUAAGCCGCACGUCCCACGGAAGAGGUUCAGCUCCCUCUGCAGUGAACAAUCUUUUUCUUUCAUAUUUUUGUUUUCCUAAGCAUUUUCCUUUUGCUGUCUGAUAUUCAAGUGAAAAAGAGAGAGAGAGAGCGCAUAUUUGGUAAAGUUUCUAUUUCUUAAAUUUUCUCUUCUUUUGUUCCUUAAAACAAUAUAAGAAUAAAAAGCCAUUUGGUAAUGUAAGCUAACUUCUAUUCUCAAUUCUCAAAACAUAUCAGUGAUCAGAGAAUAUAUUUAGAAUAGAAAUAAGAAAUAGAAAAAAAAAAGUAACUUCUUUAUUUUUUAGAACAAUUUUUAAGAUAAGUUAUUUUUUUCUUUUCUUUUUUUCCAUCCUCAAGUUGUCAGUCAUCGCCCAGGUCCAGCAUCCUUGCUAGAGCCUCACUAGUGGCUAGGUGAGGUAUCGUGAGGUCGCCGACUAGAGGAGGAAGAAAAAUGGAGGAAAAAAGAGAAGAAAAAAAUUCAGAAAAAUUAGAGAAUUAUCAGAAAAUUAUUAAAAAAUAAAAGAAAAUUCACCCCAUGAAAAUAUUUAAUAGUCAUACUAAAUGCAUUCAUGUUCUUUUUCUAUUUUAAAAAUAUAAAUUUUAUAUGAUUACCAAACACAUUUAAAUGCUCAAAAAUUCGUCUAGAGAAUAAAAAUGGAAAUAUAUAUAUAUAUAUAUAUAUAUAUUUCUAUUUCAAAAAUAUAUAUUUCUAAAUAAAAAAAUAUUUUUGGAAAUAGAAAUGUUAUAAAAUGCAUCUCGGUAGACAUAUCUUAAAAAGAAAAAAAGUCAUGCGGAUGAUCUUACUUCUGAAAAGGUGAUUUUCUAAGCUUUCCCUCUGGAUGUACUCGUACACGAGUAGGUAGUGAUUGUCUUCCCAGCAAUACCCCAGUAAUCUUACUAAAUUCGGAUGAGAAAACUUUCCCAAGAACUUGACUUCCGACUGUGGAAAGAUAACAUAAAUAACAUACCUGUUAAUCCAUGCAUAUAGAAUUAGUUAUUGAACGAAUUAGUGCAAGUUCAAUUAAUUAUGUGCAGCAAUUAAUAUUUUUUACUAUACAAAAAAUUAUGUGUUUAUAUACACAUUAUAGAGAAAAUCUCAUAUAAAAAUCUGAGAUGAAGCUGUUUUCUCAAAAAAUGGUUUAAAGCUCCCAACUUCGUUUCAAUUAAGACCCGAGCUUACUCGUCGGUGAGCCAAUUCUUUGCCAAACGGCGAGCCCAUGCAUCUAACAUGCAUCUUUCAUCCAAUGCACGUGCUCAUUAAUAUAAAAAAAUUAGCACACCGAUGAUUUCGAUAUUUAAGACUAAGUUGGCCACUUCAAUGCCUUAGUUGAGAUAAGAUCUACUCAAAUUUUUCUUCUUCUUCUUCUUCUCUUUUUUAUAAGAAAAUGGCCCCAUUUCAGAUUCUUAUUUCAAAUUUUCCCAAAAUCAUAAUAUACUGUGCAUGAAAUAGUGUGGUUUGUUUCAAAGGACAAGGUAAAUAAGCAGGAGGUUGGCGAAUAGGCAACGAAGCUUAGGUAAUUAACUGAUCCUUACUUUAGCCAAUAUGAACUCGAGUUUUUUUUUUUAAUCUUUUUUUUUUGGCAGCAGGAUUGGCGCCCAUCAAAUUUGAAACUGUUUAUAAUUGAAAUAUUCUUUGGUCUAGAAUUGAACCAAAAAAGAACUUUGUAAUUAUUAAAAAAGACCUUUAAUUCGGAAAAAAAAUCAAUAUACUCUCCCACCGUGAGGAGUCAACUUUUUCACAUUGUCCAGGUCCUCUUUGCUUCUUCUGGUGGUUUAUUAGGAUGUCCCAUAUUUUAAAAAAUUAUCUAAAAAGUCAUAAACUUAUUACAUUUUUAUAAUUCAGUUUUAAACUUUUUAAUUGUACUAAUUAAAUUCUAAAUAUUUUCAUAUUUUACCAAGUAAUCCCAUUAGGCUAACUUUGGCUAGAAAUCGCUAAUAUGGACACUAGGCUUCCUACAUGGAACGACCAACAAUGACGUGAACAAUUUUUAAUAAUAUUUUAAUUUUUUUUUCAAUUUAUAUAUCUAUUUAUUCUUUAUUCUUUUUUUUUUCUUCUCUAUUCCUUCUUGACUUUUUGCUUUUUUAUUUUCUCUUCUUUUUCUUUUUCCCUUUGUCGACUAUCACUAAACCUCAUCUAUGGCCAAUGGAGGUCACCAGCCUUAGGUAAGGGAUGCCCAUGUGAGGGUCACUCUUGUCAACCCCUAGCAAGGCCCUUACCUAGGUGAUCGUGGGCUACCUCUUCUAAGCUAGCAAGGGUAAUCCUUGCCCUCACCCAAUCUGGUGAAGGGACUUGAGGCCGACAAGGGCAGCCCUCACCCGAGGUUGGCAAAGGGAGAAAGGAAAAAAGAAAAAAAGGAAAAAUUAAAGAAAAUAAAAUAAAAAAUUCAAAAAAUAACUACAAAAAUUUAAAAUAUUAAAAUUAUUAUAAAUUGUCUAUGCCAAUGCCGAUCAUGCCAGCCAACAUUCAUGUUAGCAAUUUCUAAUUAAAAUUAGCUGAGUGGACUUAAUUGAUAAAAUGGUUAAUACCCUGAAAAACCCUAAACUAGUACACCUGUGACAAAUUUACCCAAAACUAUUUUUUUGACCACCAAAAACCCUAAACUGUUAUAUCUUUGACAAAUUUACCCCAAAUUGGUACACUUGUGACAAAUUUACCCUAUGUUAGUUUUCGUUAAAUUUUGAUUAAGUUAAAUGAUACGUGACAAUUAACUGGUAUAUAAAUUUGCGAUUUUACACUCCAUUUGUCACAGUUUACAAUUUUUGUGAUUUUUUUGUGAUAUUAAUCCAAUUUACCGGAAUGUAUAUUUGUCACAAAUUUACUAGUUUAGGAUUUUUUGUGAUUGAAUAAAUUAGUUUUGGGUAAAUUUGUCAUAAAUGUACAAGUUUAGAGUUUUUUAUGGUCAGUCGGGGUAAAUUUGUCACAAGUGUAGUAGUUUGGGGUUUUUCAUGGUUUGUGAUAAAUUUGUCACAGGUGUACCAGUUUGGGGUUUUUCAGGGUAUUAACCCUUGAUAAAAUGUAAAAAGAUUGAGGAUUGAAUUAUCACAAUUAUAAGGUUCAGAAUAGAUUUGAAAUUUUUGGUAAUUUUUCCUACUUAUUUUAUAUUAAAGUGAGGAGCAUUGUCACAUACUACUAUGUAAAGUGGGGAAAAUUACAUAAAAAUCAUAAACUUUUUACAAUUAUGUCAGUUUGGUCUUAAGCUUUUUGUUGGCCAAUUUAGUCCUUGGCCGACCGGCGUCCACAAAAGGGCCGGUCAUUCAGCUGUUGCUCAUGUGAAUAAUUUCUUAAUAAUAUUUAUUAUUCAUUUAUUUUUAUUUUCCUCCCUCCCUCUCUCUCUCACCCAUGCCAACGGCCGAUAGGGGCAAGCUUCGCCAUUCAUCUCUAGCCGAUCACUAAGGUGUGAUGACUAAUGACUAACUAGAGGAAGAAGGAAGGAGGAGAGAGAGGGAAAAAAAAAAGAGAAACAAGGAAAAAAUAAACUAAAAAAUCUGAAAAAAUAAAAUAUGAUUAAAAAAUUAUCCACGUCAAUGUUGAUUGCAAAUGAACUAAAUUGGUAUAAUUACAAAAUGUUUAGGAUUGAAUUAGCAAAAAAAAAUUUAGGACCGAUUGACACAAUUAUAAAAAGUUCAUGACUUUUUUGAUAAUUUCCCCUUAUAAAGUGCUUUCAACAAAAAUGUAAACUCGAAAUCAUCAAACGAAAUAUAGACCGCUUGGGAGAUAGUGGAAUUGUAUAAAUGUAAAUAUGCACCUGCCACCUGCACAAGCCCUGAUGGCUAUCAGGAUUAUACUUCUUGAUGGCAACCGGGAUGCCAUUGCCGACAUGGGACGGGACGAGGGUGUUCUCGUCCACCCAACCCUUGAACACCCUCCCAAACUUGCCCUCCCCAAGGAUCGUGUCCGUGCUAAAGCUCCUGGUCGCGCUCUUCAGCUCCGCCAGCGUGUACAUCUUCAGGUUGGGCAUUAUCACUUUCGCUGCAGCUAGAGCUUCGUCCGUGCCACUGCUACUUGCCGCCGGUAGCUUCCCGUUCUUGCUUCCCACCAACACAUCUUGCUUUACCUUAGAGCUUACCUUAGGGCUUUUAGCGAGACCUAAUAUACAUAUGAAAAGGAAAGAAAGAAAAAGGAAAUGAAAAAUACUAUACUUAACUAUUAGAUAAAUGUGUGGUUAUUAUUUAAAUAUUAUAACACUCUCAUUCAUAUGUAAAUUGGACUUUGGCUUAAGUUUAAUGGAUGAAAAUAUAUAAUUAGGAAGACAAAUAAGAGCCUAGAAAGAUUUGAAUUCUGAACAUUUUGUUUUUUUGUCAUGUGAGAUUUUAUAGCAUUGUUACUAACUAUUUAAAAAUUUUAAGUUAUUAAAUUGAGGUUUAAUUUAUUAUUUAAAUAUUUUAAGAGUGAUGAUCCACCGGAGCCCAUCAUCCGGAGCCAAUCAUUUUCCCAGUAAUUCCCCGUGAUCAAUAACGACGACGACGAUUAAGAAAACGCCUCCACAGACUCGUCCUCCCUCUCUCUCUCUCUCUCUCUCUCUCUCUCUCCGUGGCUGUUUUGACAUAAAGCAGGUCUCCCUUUCUUAUUUCGGUGGGGUAAUGGCAGCUGGAGAGGGUUGUGAGGUUCGAGGAAAAAGAGAAGCGAAAGGAAAGAGGAGAAACAAAAUCUUCUCGCUACCAGCAACCACAGGCUCCUUUCUCCUCUUGACGUCGACUCUUUUGGAAUAGAAAAAUAUCAAAAAAAUUAUAAACUUAUUGCAUUAUCGGUCAUAAACUUUUCAAUUGAAUUAAUUGAAUUAUAAAUAUUAUAAAUUUGUAACAAUUGAGUUCAUCGUCGUAUCAUCGUCGUACAUGACAUAAUUAACGUUGACGUAGAUAAUUUUUUUUUUAAUUUUAAUUUUUUUUUAGUUUUACCCUUUUUUUUUUUUUAGAUUUGGCAAUGAAUUAUGAGAGCCUUUAAAAUCUCCAUUUGUACAUUUUCAUGUUCAUUUAUACUAAUAUGUUGUAGAUACCAAAUAAUAGACAUGAUAUGAUAUGAAAAUAUUUGGUUUUAUUAUUUGAUUCACUAAAUAAUGCAUAUAAUAUAGUAAAGUCUCUAGAUUAUAUAUUCUAACAUAUUCAAUCAUAUACUGACUAGAAAUUUAGACGGCCAAACACAAUGUAUGAGCUUGAAAUAUACGAACUCGGUCUUCCAUUAUACCAAUCACAGAAGAAUUGAAUAACCACGGAAGAAAGAAGACCCUUACCUCGAGACGCCGAUAGUCCUCUCAUAGCUUUCCUUCUAAGUUGGUCAGAACUUUUGCCCAGUUUCCACCCCCGCUUUUCUACCUGCCGAAUUAGGCGUAAUCCCAUCUUUAUUGACCAAGAAAUAAGAUGCUCACGGAGAGAUUAAGCCUAUUUCUACAACUAGAACAAAUGAUUGACUGAAUCCAGAGAGCCUGUAAGCAAUCCCCACGUAAUCUCGAACCACUUCGUCCCCAGUAGAAAUAUCAUCAAUUUCCAUUGACUCUUUACUGAAAAAGGAUGCAACUCGAUCAGCUCGUGCUCACAAAAACGAAGUACUCACCUUCGCUACACUCUCGGUGUCUGAAUCAGUGCUGGACGGAGAGAGAGGCCCGUUGAACACCAUUCUGGGGGAAGGAUCAGCAAAAAUCUAUCUGGACGAUUCUGAAAUUGACGGGAAUUUGGGAUCCACAGCGACGACGGCGCAGCAGAUGUAUGCGAGACUUAUAGAUCUGCCGGGUAGGCGUUCAGACUCUGAUGCAUCAGGAGGGACGGAAAUUCCCCGUUGAAGUAGACAGCAAAAAGGAAAAGAAAAGACGUGUGCUUUCGCAAAGAAAUUGUGGAAGCCGACAGACAGUCAGUCGACCCGGUGGUCAUCGUGCCCCUGCAUUCUGAAACUUUUGCACUUGAAGAAGAGAAAAUAUUGCAUGCCCUCAAAGAAGGGUGUCUUUUGAUAAAUAUAGAAAAAGUAAGGUACUUUCCUGGAAUUUCUCUCCCGAUACCAACAAUCAUUGAGGCCGAGAUGGACUCUGCACUAACUCCAGUCAAGAAGUACAGCAAGACAAAGUUUUGUAAUAUUGACUUUUCAAAGGGUGGGGCCCAGAAAAAGGAAAAGAGAAAAGGAGCCCACCGUGUAAUUAAAGGAAGAGAGAGAAGAUCGAGAGCAAUGCGGGAAAAAAAAGGGAGGGGAAAUAAGUAUAAAAAGAAAGGGAAAAGAGAAAGGGCACGUCACAGAGCCUCACCAAGCCACAAGGCCCGCAACGCCCGUUGAGUGCUCCCGUCCCUUAUUCUCCCAAUAGGAUUACUUGUUGCGACUAAAGGCUUAAAUUCAAUUAUGUGAGAUUUAGGUCACGAAAUCCAAUUUUUGAGUCGUUGAGUUAUAAAAUUUCAUAAAAAUUAUGUAUUAUAUUAUUAUAGAGUCGUGGGGUUUGAUAGAGUUUAAUUUGAAGCAUCGAUUUUAAGAUUUUGCAUUCAAGUUUCGCAUUGCAUUUAAUUUUGAUAAUUACUUUGAGAGAGUGAUUCAUUAGUACAUAAAAGUCAUUUUGUUAGCAUUUAGGUGUAAUUUUACCGUUUUAUAUUCGAGAUAGAGUUCUAUUUGAUUUUAAUGUCGAUUCUCAUUUAAUUGUUAGAAUUAUAAAAUCAUUAACUCGUUUAAUUACGCAUUGUUUGGUUUGGGCAUUCUCAGGCGAGUAACGUUAUCUCUUCUUUGAGUUUGUAAAGUGAAAGAGAUUUGAUAUGUUUUGACUUAUGAAAUAAGAAUUUUGUUGCAUAAAAUAUAGGAUCGAGCACAAUCUACUUUUAGGUUAUUUGUGAAUGAUUUGCGAAACACUUUACAUUUUAUGAAAGACGUUUUAAGAAAAUUUUAUGAAAAACCUUUCAAAGGUUAUACAUAUCAAUUUGUGAAUUUAGUUUAUGAAUUUGUGAAUUAGUGAAUUUAGAGCAAGGCAGAGGCGGGCUAAGGCUUCGCCAGCUGUAGGCAAGGUCUGUACGUGCAGAGGCGGGCUAAGGCUUCGCCAGCUGUAGGCAAGGUCUGUACGUGAAGAUGGACAAGAGCACGAGCGUGAAGGUGGAGAUCCGUAGCCGCAAGGUCUGCAAACUCAUUGACAAGACGCUCAAGCUCGCCCAGACCUGGCUUCUUCGAGCUCGAGUAAGAUCCACUCCUGAGUGUCGGUACCGGUAGACCAGCGAAUGCGGAGGUCUACUUUGACUCCUUUUUUUUUUUUUUUUUCUUAGUUCGGAAGCUUCUACAAGAUCUGUUGACCGAGCAAUCCACGAUUUUCAUCUUGAAAAGUGGGCGGAGGACGAGGCAAGACGAAACGACCAAGAUGAUUCCCAUGGCCGCGUGAGCCCUUAUUUAAUAAGGCCAAAAAACAAUGAAGGAACCGUGCUUCCUCCUAGAGAAAGCUUGCAAGCAUAAUCAAUAAAAGAGCCUACUUAUUUGUGUUUUCUUUUUUAAAGUAUAAAUUAAUUUUUUCACAUUCCUACUAAACUUUAAAAUAUUAUUCAAAUUACCCAAAAAUAUUAUAUGAAACUAAAUAUCAAAAUACUGAAGGCUAUUAGAGACUCCUUUACGAACCUUUGGAAGGAAAUAGAGAAAGAAAAAGAAAGAUGUGAGAAAUGGCUACUAUUAAAGCAUCUAUUUGGGAGAUUAUCAAAAGAGUCCUAAAUUCAUUAUAAUUGUGUCAAUUUAGUUUUAAAUAUUUUUUUCUUGCAAUUUGAGUUCUAAACCUUUUGCAUUUGUGUAAAUUUAAUCUAUCCAACCAAUUUUAGUCAAAAAUCGCUAACAUGGAUAUUAAACAUCCUAUAUAGUGUAGCCAACAUUGACGUAUACUAUUUUUUCCAAAAUUUUCAUUUUUUUUUUCAUUUUUCUUUUCUUUCUUUUUCUUUCUUUGUUUUUCUUCCAUUGUUUUUCUUCCUCUAGGGUAGCCAACAUUGUGAUGUGUACUGUUUUUUCCAAAAUUUUCAAUUUUUUCCUUUUUUCUUUUCUUUAUCUUUCUUUCUUUGUUUUUCUUCCCUUCUUUUUCUUCCUCUAGCCGCUCACCGAACCUCAAUGACGACCGGCCAAAGGUAAGGGCCAACGAGGGAGAACCUUGCCAUGGCUACGCAAGGCAUGACCUUGCCAGAUCUAGGAAGGUUAGGCCUCGCCCAUGGUUGAUGAGGCUAGACUCUUGCUAGCCUAGCAAGCAGCCUACACAUGGCUCGCCUGACCUCACUAGCCCUCACCUCUAGUCAGUUGCCAAGGUCUAGUGACCGACUAAAGGAAGAAAAAGAAGAAGGAGAAGAACAACAACAACAACAAGGCAAGAAAAAAAAAAGACAGAGAACGAAAAGAAAAAAGAAAAAGAAAAUAAAUAAAUGAUUAAUUUGAAUAAAUAAUAAAAAUUGUGACAGCAUCACGAUUGCUAAUGUCCAUAUCAACGGUUUCAAGUUAAAAUUAAUCGGAUGAACUAAAUUAACACAAAUACAAAAUAUUUAAAACUCAAUUAACAAAAAAAAAGGAUUAAGUUGGCACGAUUACAAUAAGUUUAGGAUUUUUUGGAUAAUUUUUCUGUUCAUGGGUUACCUAUCCUAAUUAAUCCCAAUGUAUAUGAAUUUAUUAAUCGAAAAUCGUCUUAUGGUGUAUGAAUCUGAUGUGGAGCACGUUUUGUUUGCUAUUUCUAAUUUUUUUAGCAAGUACUCGGUAGAAGUGAAGAAGGGGCUUGCUGGCCUCAGCGAGGCUUGCCCAGCCCCACCGGUGGCUAGGUGGGCCUUGCCCAACCCCGGCGAGGCCCGCCUGGCCACCAGCGAGGCUGGGCGAGCCUCGCUAGAUCUAGCGAGGCUGAGCCUCAGCGAGACUGGGUGAGCCUCGUCGCGGGCCUCGCCCAACCCCGGUGAGGCCGACCUCACCGAGGGCCGACGACGCUUCGAUGAGGUCGCCGACCCUUGUCUGGCCAGUUGCCGGUUCGACAACUGGCCUAAAGAAGAAGAAGAAUAGGAGGAAAAAGAAAAAAAAAUGAAAAAAGUAUAAAAAUUAUUUAAAAAUUAAAAGAAAUUGAUUUAGAACAUAAUCAAUUAGCACGGUAUCAAACACAAUUCUAUUCCAGAAUAAAAAAAUUUGGACAGUUACUAAACAGCUUAAAAUUGUUGGAAAAAACUUUCUUGCGUGUUUUGAAGCUGACAAAAUGUUUUUAUCAGUUUCGUUUGAAGACUUGCAGACUCUUUCAACAAAGUUUGAAGACCGCCGGACCGCUAAACUCAAGAUUCAAAGUCUAUCCUCAUUGACAGUUUCUAGACCGUCGAAGAAGACUUAUUCAGAAUUAAAUAUUUCUUUAAGGAUUUGAUUCUAUCGACUAAAGAAGAUCUCUCGGCUGGAUAUAGCAUCUCGGAAUCCAUUAUUCAUCUUAAGAUUGAUCAGACAUUUUGGAUCCGUUGAUUGGCGAAGUAUACUUGGAAGGUUCUACUUAUGGAACCUAAAUCCUAAUUGUAUAAGCGAGCAGGAUUUGUGGGCUAUCGUCAUAUUCCUUAAAUAACUCGAAAUCUCAUUAAUUGAUUCUGUCCAAUUGGUAGAUUGGAAGAGCUCCUUUGGUCAAUGCCAACGGUUAUGAUGGCAUGAAGGAGUAUAUAAUGAAGAUGUUCUAGUUAUUCGAGUGUGUGCGUGAUAGAGAAAUUUCAAAGUCUGAAGCUCCUUGUUCUUUGUCAAUUCAAUUGUUGAGCGUGAACUUGUACUCAAAAGAGAGUUUAUACUUCUGUGAGACCUUGAGGAAGUGUAGCAGAGUCUCUCUACUGUGGAAUCAAGGAAGAGUUAUACUGUAACAACUCUUUUGAUUCUUAGUGAAAUCCAGUCAGUGGGCUGUCAAUGCAGAAGAGUGGCCAUAGGCUUGGAUUAAGCCGAACUACUAUAAACCUUGUGUUCUUAUUCUCUUCCCUAAGCUUUUUUACUUUGAUUGUAACUCUAUCUAAUUAUUAGAGUCUAAUUUCCUUUUCAUAAUCUAUUACUAAACAGAGUUGGUUUAAAAGCAAAAUUUUAUACUUUACUCUGCAAAAUUUAUUUUCACACCUAUUCAUCCCCUCUAGAUGCUCGUACUAGCUUUCACAAAAAUGCUUAGAAUAUGUUCCCAACAGAAUAAAAAAAAAAUCAUUUAUGAUCAGAAUCUACUUCCGGGAACAGAAUCGUCACCAAACGCACCCUUAUAUGGAUACUAGUGGGAAAAGGAACAAAGAAUAAUGCAUGAUGAUAUCAAUGCCUUUUUAUAUAUUAUUAUCAUUUGUGUUGUAACAUAUUGCAUGGUAAAUAUAUAAUAGAGAUAAUAGAGAAAUUGAGUAGAGAAAGCUAGACACCAAAAAUCGUAGAAAAAAUAAAAGGAGAAAAUUUUAUUUUCACUAUAUCACCCUGUAACAAAAACUAAGCUCUUAUUUAUAAUAAAACAAGGAUGCACUUAUCAUUAAUGUCAAUAUAUUGAAUAAUACAUAUAUUGGAUAAGGAGAUGAAUAUUCAUUGUAUAGGGAGAUGUACUUAGAAUAUAUAAUACAGAUGCAUCAUAAUAAAUACAUUAAAUAAGAUAAAUAUAAUGAAUAUUUAUUCAUUUAUGUAUUUUAUAACAAUUUGAAGUAACAUAAAAAUAUUAAUCUAAAAGAAGAUAAAAUAUAUUUGUUGACGUGAGAUUUUGUAUGUUUGCAACUUUCAAAAGUUUAGAUUAUUAAAUGAAAGUGUGAUUUAAUAGUUAAAUAUUCUAGCAAUUGAAAACAUAUUUGAACGGAUUUAAAGUUGAAAUGCUCCUAGAAUUAACAACACCAAAUUCCUCCUUAUCAUUAUUUUCUUUUCCCUCUAAUCACCUCUACCAAAUAUAUUGUCAGUAAAUGAACCAUCGGUAUUUAUGCAGUGUCAGGAUAGAUACGUUCUUAUUUUGAUCACCAAUCCAAAUUUCAAUUCAUGUCUUACGUGGUCAUUGUAAUUAAUGUGAAAGGCAUAUUGGAGUUAAAAAUAUGCACAGAAAAUCAAUCCACAUUCAUCAAGACACAAUAGAACCUGAUUUUAGAGUAAUGGUAAACGCGGUAGCAUACUUACGGCGGCAAACUAUCAUCUCGGGCACAGGUCCAAUUUUAUUGUUAAUUACUGUUGUGGUUUUGAAUUCAAAGAUGGCAGUUCUCUUGUCCACAUUGCAUACAUUUAUUUUGACGUGCGGACCCUUGGAGUGCCAUAACUUUGCACAAAGGGGUAACUUUGCACAAAGGGUCACUUAAGUGCCAUAAUUUACGAAAUAUACACUUAAGUGCCAAAAUCGAAGUAAAAAGGAUCACUUGAGUGCCAAUUCGGUCAAAACACCGACGUGGCAUUUUUCCGGCGAACCGAGCCCAAAACGACGCUAUUUUGCACGUUAACGUGGUCAAAUAAUACAAAACGGCGUCGUUUUGGGCUGAUGUGAUAAAAAAAUUAAUUAAAUUAAAUUAAAUUUAAAUUAAAUUAAAANNNNNNNNNNNNNNNNNNNNNNNNNNNNNNNNNNNNNNNNNNNNNNNNNNNNNNNNNNNNNNNNNNNNNNNNNNNNNNNNNNNNNNNNNNNNNNNNNNNNGUUAUUGGGUCUUAUAUUUUUCCCACUUAUUCAGAGGAUUUGUGUCAGAGCCUAAGAGUUUUCUAUCUUCCACAGAAGAAGCCUUGACCUCUAAGUUUAUGUCCGGUUACAGACAGGGCAACUGCUAAAAUGGCACAUGGCUCAGUCAAAGCGCUUGAAGCACGACCCUUGCUAAGUUAAGACUAAGGACAUGAGCCCCUCGCCACUAGCCACAAAAUAUAGGGAGGGUUGCGGCCCUCGCCCAGCCGGGCGAGGGCCAUCGACCCUUGCCAAAUUUGGGCAAGGGCCAUGAGCCCUCGCCACUAGCCACAAAUCUAGGGAGGGUUGUGGCCCUCGCCCAGAUCCAGCAAGGGUUAGCGACCCUCGCCCAGCGGGCGGCGGCCCUUGGCCCAAUUGGGCGAGGGUCGCCAACCCUCGCCAGAUCUGGGUGAGGGUCAGAUCGGGGCGAGGGCUCACAAGCCCUUGCCCAGAUCCAGCAAGGGUUAGCGGCCCUCGCCCAGCGGGCGGCGGCCCUUGGCCCAGUUGGGCGAGGGUCGCCAACCCUCGCUAGAUCUGGGUGAGGGUCAGAUCGGGGCGAGGGCUCACAAGCCCUCGCCACUAGUUGGUCGGGGUCACCGGCCCCUAGCCAGGGCCCAGCGACCCCGGCCGACCCUCCCCUCGCCGUCACCAGCCCUUCCCGGCAACGACGGGGCGGCAGCCCUCAGCCGCCUCCUCCCCUUUCUUUUUUUUUUUUAAAUUUUUUUUAAUUUUAAAAUUAUUAUUUUUUAAUAUUUUAACUAAAUUUAAUUUUAAAAUUAUUAAUUUAAAUAUUUUAACUAAAUUUAAUUUAAUUUUUUAUUUUUUUACCACAUCAGCCCAAAACGACGCCGUUUUUGUAUUAUUUGGUCACGUUAGCAUGCAAAACGGUGUCGUUUUAGGUGCGCUUUGCCGGAAAAAUACCACGUUGCUCUGAUACCAUGAAUGGACCUAGACUUAGAACCAGGGAAGGAGAGUAAAUUUCCUACAGGUAUGCAUCCCACAGUGGGCGAACAUCCUCGUUCAAGCCCUUCAGGGACAGCCUUUUAGCAGAAAACCACUCAGCCCUUUAAUUCAGAGCCUAGAGACACUCAGAGAUGCCAGGAUGGAAACGUUUCUAACCUACCCAAGCUGCAUUUCUUGAAGGAUCCUUCCAGGCUGGAGAAGAAAGGGAGAUUUAGAAAGCCAUAGAGAGAUUUCCACAAAGCACACACUUUACUUCAAGGGACUCUGCCCAAAACAAUACACCCUCGAAGCCUUAUAUAGGUAAUAAGAGGUCACAAAAGACACAUAGGGACCAAGCUCACGGGUCCGGGUACAAACAGGGCACCGAAAGGGAAUUAUUCGCACAUUAUGAACAGUAACUAUACUGUGAACAGUACAUUCCCUAGCCUAGUGCUACAGUAAAAGUGAACAGUGAUCUGCUACAGUGAAAAUGUACGGACUCAACGGUCUCGUCCGUCACGAGCAUUGUAGCUACACACAGAGUCAUCCGAGCUGCCUUCUAGGAGAUGUGCCUCGUACUUCUGUUCAAGGGCUUCAAGGUCUUCUGGUGAGAGGAUUUGGUUCAAUCUUCGUGAUGAGGAUGCUUGUUCAUGAGCCCAAUGUGAUGCUUCUUCUUUAGCCCAAUUUGUAUUUUCAUCUUCUUGCAGGUCAGGAAUUCUUGGCUGAGGCCAAUUGGAUGGCUCUGCAUAGAAAGAUGUGUCCAUGCUUUGGAAUUGUUCGUAGGGAUCCUGGGACAGAGGUCCUCCAAAGCGUGCGUGGGGGUCCUGGGUGGACUAGACAAUGUCAUCUUCAUUUGUCAUUUCAGGCUCUUGGGACGAUGAGGCUUGUCUGUAUUGUCCGAGUGCUUCCUUAGCUUCUGGUGCUAGGUCAUAAUGAUCCCACGUAGUGGGUGCAUUAUUCCAUAUAUCUUCGGGAAUGGUCUUGUUUUCCUGGCACAGGAUUCUUUGGAGUUCUCGAUAUUCAUUUUCACAAAGUCGAACAGAUCUAGGAUAAGAUCUGUAAAUUCGAGCUUCUCGACUGUUCAAGUUAGGUUUAUAGGAUGUGGUUCCUAUUUCUAGUGGUGCAUCGAGAAUACUACCAUUAUUUCUGCAAAAAUUCCAAGGACGUCGAAAAAACAGGAUGGUGUGGUCUUCGGGGUUUGGCGUCGUCGAUCUUAGUUCUCUUUCUAAGUCUUGUUUCCAACAUGUAGGAGGAUAGAACCAAUUUAGGAAUUCUAAGAGAUUUCUAUCACAUUCCUUUUCAAUGUUUCUUCCGAGCAAGAAUAUCCUUGUGAGGUUAGCAAUGAAUCUUCUGGUUGGGAUUUCAAAAGCUAUUAGAUACUUAUUGGUUAAGUACCAUAAUAACGUUUUGAGUUGUUCAGGAAAAUCAUCUUCCUUCCAGAUAAGAGGAUGAAUGAACGGAUAAUUCAUAUUUAACCCAAAAGGAUAAAGAAUCGAACCUCCAUUGAAUCUGAAUAGGUCUGUGUGGCUUUGCCACAUGAGGUUCUCCAGGUUCUCAGAAAGGCUGUCAUUCUGGAUUUGCUGAAUAAUCUCCUGGGGAUAUUUCCAGCUCUGUGAAUCUUUGAUGUUCUCGAUUUUGUAUUUUACUCCAUGGUUGAGCAUAUGGAAAGCAGGCCUUUUGAUAUACAUGUUGAUCUCGGCUGGUGCCUUUGGCCUUGAUAAGAAGUCCGCAAGUACAUUCUUCUUUCUAGGAAUAUGCUUAGUUUCAAAGGAGUAUUUUGAGAACCAUUCAGUCCAUCUAAGCAGUUGUGAAUUUGGAAUCUGUUUUUGUUUAAACUUGGUCAUCUGAGGAAAAGAUGCCAUGUCUAAUUCCACCAAGAAGUGGUGGCCGAUGAGAUGAAACUCAAAUUUUUUGAUUCCAUUUUUGACUACUAGGAUUUCUUUGAAAGUGGAAUGGUAAUGCAUUUCAGCUUGGGAAAACUUUCCACUUUUAUGAGCACAGAGGAGUCUCUUACCAUCAAUUUCUUCAAAAAGAACAGCUGCCCAGUAUUCAUCACUGGCGUCAGUCUGGAGGAUUCGUUUGCCUGUUGAUGGUAUUUGUAAUGGUGGGAGAUUCUGCAUAAUCUCUUUGAGUUCAGCAACUGCUUUGGUCUGAGCUUUUCCCCAAGGUGGUGCAUUCUUCUUUAGCAUGGAUUGCAAAGGAAUCAGAAGCUUUGCUAUAUUUGGGACAAACACCCUGAGAUAGUUAAUUAUCCCAAGGAAUUGCUGGACUUGCUUUGUUGUGAAGUUAUCCUGAGGAAACUUCAGUAAUUCUUGGGCGAUAUGUGGCCCUGGGUAGUAUGUUCAUUUGUUAAGGUUCAUACCAAGAAAUUCAAUUUCUGUCUGGGCAAUAUUCAUCUUUCUUUGCGAAAGCAUAAUGCCAUGUUUUUUUACGAUUUCUGCAAACUGCUCAAGGAGUUGACAGUGUGACUGUUCAUCAGGACUGUAGAGCAGAAUGUCGUCAAUGUAUACAGCUGCACUUGAUAGAAUUGGUUGGAAGAUGCGGCACAUGGCCUUUUGGAAAAGGGAUGGUGCUACCUUUAAACCAAAAGGAAGAACUUUCCAUUGGAAGUGCUGAUUCGGAAUACAGAAUCCUGUCUUGGAUCUGUCUUCAGAUGGAUGCCCAAUUGCCAAAAUCCNNNNNNNNNNNNNNNNNNNNNNNNNNNNNNNNNNNNNNNNNNNNNNNNNNNNNNNNNNNNNNNNNNNNNNNNNNNNNNNNNNNNNNNNNNNNNNNNNNNNNNNNNNNNNNNNNNNNNNNNNNNNNNNNNNNNNNNNNNNNNNNNNNNNNNNNNNNNNNNNNNNNNNNNNNNNNNNNNNNNNNNNNNNNNNNNNNNNNNNNNNNNNNNNNNNNNNNNNNNNNNNNNNNNNNNNNNNNNNNNNNNNNNNNNNNNNNNNNNNNNNNNNNNNNNNNNNNNNNNNNNNNNNNNNNNNNNNNNNNNNNNNNNNNNNNNNNNNNNNNNNNNNNNNNNNNNNNNNNNNNNNNNNNNNNNNNNNNNNNNNNNNNNNNNNNNNNNNNNNNNNNNNNNNNNNNNNNNNNNNNNNNNNNNNNNNNNNNNNNNNNNNNNNNNNNNNNNNNNNNNNNNNNNNNNNNNNNNNNNNNNNNNNNNNNNNNNNNNNNNNNNNNNNNNNNNNNNNNNNNNNNNNNNNNNNNNNNNNNNNNNNNNNNNNNNNNNNNNNNNNNNNNNNNNNNNNNNNNNNNNNNNNNNNNNNNNNNNNNNNNNNNNNNNNNNNNNNNNNNNNNNNNNNNNNNNNNNNNNNNNNNNNNNNNNNNNNNNNNNNNNNNNNNNNNNNNNNNNNNNNNNNNNNNNNNNNNNNNNNNNNNNNNNNNNNNNNNNNNNNNNNNNNNNNNNNNNNNNNNNNNNNNNNNNNNNNNNNNNNNNNNNACAACUUGCUCCUGUGUCAAUAGAGCAAUGACGUUGAUAGGUUUGGCCAAACUUCGAGGUGAGGAUUUUAACAGGGAAAUGGGGACAGUGAGUAUGACUUGAAAAUAUGUCAGGAUUUGGCUUUGAAGGUGUGGGAGAUAUGUGAAAAAUAUCUUCAGAUUCUGAGUCAGACUCAGUGUCACUAGAAGUUUGGUAAAAAGGAAUGGCACAAAGAGUUUGUUCAGUUGGUUCAUCAUCAGCAGAGAAUAAGGAUUCAAUAUCAUCAUUUUCAAGUGAAAAACCUGUUUCAUUCUCUAUUAGAUGAAUCUGACCUUUUUUCGCCUAAGGACAAUUUUUGGCAAAAUGUCCUUUUUUGUUGCAAAUGUAGCAACGACUUGACUUCUUAUGGCUUGUGCGCUCCUUCCUUUUGCGUAGGUAUCUCAAUUUCUUCUUUUUCCGGAAAUGCUUGGAGCCAUGUUUGGAUUUCUUAAUUGAGUAUUUCUUGUAGUGCUUUUUUUUCCGGGAAUACUGGCCACAAGUACCAUCACAAUCUUGUUUGGAGCAUUUGAUUUUUAACUUCUGAGAGGAACAAGCUCCUUCAAGACGCCUGUCAUCUGUGAUGUAUGUUCGGACCAUCCGACGCUUUAAGCAUAAUUCUUCAAGACAUAGAUGGACUUCUUGCUGAAUUUCUCCCAGAGGAACGUCUUGUAUUCUUCUUUGCUUUCCAAAGAAAGAUCUUUCAACCAUCUGUGAUAGCUCUUUGGGGAUAGAAGUAAGGAAGACAUGCUUUAAAUUUGGAUCUGCUCCAAUUUGGUAAAAGAGCUUAAGCAUUAGUCGAUAAUGCUUAUCAAGAUGCUUUUUCUGAAGGGAGCAGCAUCUUCUUUCGAAAAAUUCCCUUCUUUUUAGCUCUUUGAGAUCUCCCGGGGUUCCCACAAAGACAUGAUAUAAAUAAGUAAGGGCAUGGCUGAAAUUGGGUGACAUUAGGAACGUGAUUUGGUCUUGUUCCGUGAGUGACUGCCACCAGAAUUUGAGGCUCCCUAUGAAUCUCGUAACAAAGUUGUAAAGGACAUCAUUCAUAUCAUGGUUGGUGAUGGAUUGUGUACUCAACCAAGUAUGAAACUCUUCAAGUCUUUCUGGCCAUUUUGGAUAAGGAAUAUCAUCAAUGGAGAAGAAUUGUUUUGAUGCCAUAGACACAUGUCUGGUGGAAUCGUUUCUAGUGGGAUUACUUCGAAGCCUCGUUCUGGANNNNNNNNNNNNNNNNNNNNNNNNNNNNNNNNNNNNNNNNNNNNNNNNNNNNNNNNNNNNNNNNNNNNNNNNNNNNNNNNNNNNNNNNNNNNNNNNNNNNNNNNNNNNNNNNNNNNNNNNNNNNNNNNNNNNNNNGAGUCUAAUGUAGUAGAAGGAGUUUGCUCAGCUAGCAUAAUUUGUUUUUCUGGGAUAGCAGGAUCAGGCUCAGGCUGUUGGGUAUUAGGAUUAGCUUCUUGCUUACCCAAAUCCUUCAAAAAGGAUUCUAGUGGAUUUGAUAACAUCAUCUGGUCUGGCUUCUCUCUUAUAACAAUUGAGCUUGAUUCUGUCUUUUGUUUCCCUUUUUCCUUCUGCAGGGCUUUGAGACGAUUUUGUAUUUCUGCCAUAUCUGGUUCUCUUCUGGAGGUAUCUUCCAGAAUAUUGGCAAAAACAGAUAUUUGCGGUGCUGGGGGUACGUACCCAGUUUGAAUAGGAGGUGCUAGUGGAUCAAAAGGUCUAAACCUUCCUUCUUCAAGAAUCUGAAUUUGCUUCUUGAGCUUCUCUAUUUCUGGUUUUGGACUUUCAAGGUAGUGGUACCCAAGAUGUUGUCCUGAUUCCAAGGCAUGAAGCCUUUUCUGGAACUCAGAAAGUAUCUUCUUGGUACUUUCAUCAUAUCUUCGGAGAUCUUGUUGCACAUUUCCAAUUUUGGAAUCAAUAGCCUUGAAGGCAUUGUUUUGUGCUAACAGAGUCUCUGAUUGCCAAUUUAGGACGGCUUCAGUGGCGGAGGUUUUUUUCUGUCUCCCAUGUUCAUCCACAUCAGUGGGAGUAGGAACUUUAGGAACAUGGCGGUAUCUGCCAUGAGGAUCAAUAAACUCUUCUGUAGCAGGGAACGAGAGUUUAGAACUUUCCUUGACAAGAGGAGGAAAGUCAGUAUCCUGGAACAUAGCAAUAGAAGAAGUAGAUGGUACUUCUUCUGGAACUUCGAGGGGGUAAGAGUGCUUCUUAGCCCACUUAAGGAUUGGCUUAUAGAAUGGAGAGAGAACUUGCUUUUUCUAGGGAGGAGCCGGUGGUGGUGUUUUUGGUGGAUCUGGUGAGGCCUGGGAUGUAGUACUAGGCUCUUGUGGUCGAGGUGGUGCAUAAGAAACCAUGAAUUGGUAUUUAUCAGAUUCACCAAGAGUAUCAACGGAGGAAUCUCCGUCCAAGUACCUUUGGAACAUUUUGUCUUUUGGCCUUUUCCGUCGAGGUGGGGGUCUUGCAAAAGGAUCUACCUCGUCAGGGGAAUUUGUACAAUAAGAGCAUUGACAAAAAGGGUCCCAAAAACAAUGACCAUAAUUGUCUUUAUAGUAAUGAACAGGAUGUCCAUUACCAUCAAAAUGUUUGACAUGCUUCUUUGGAUCUGGCUCGGAAAUAGAUUGAGGGACACAUGGUUCAAUCAUAAAGAGGGUUUGGAAGAUAGAAGGACUUUCUUCCUUUUCCUUGCCAAAUUUGAUGGAAACAGUUCCAUAUUUUUUCCUUACGAACUCUGAGUCCGUGGACUGGAAAGGCUUGUUGUGCUGGUGUAGCUUUUCGUAGUUGGUAAUCCAAGUCUCUGGAAGGAGCUUGGCCAACGUAUCCUUUGGGAUUUGUCUAGGAACAUGGAUACAGGAUGCCUGAUCAUUCUGCAUGGAGAUGAACAAGGCGUCUUCAUUACCAUUGUUGAAGUUGAGGUCAAGUGCAUGGGUUCUGCACUCGAUAUACCAUCUAGUAAUGUAGUGUCGCAGCUACAGAGUCAGCAAUUUGAGGGGCUCCAGUAAGUUGGACUUGGACUUUCAUAAAAGAAAGUAACUGAGGAUCCGAAAGAGCGAUGUUGAAGUUGGGAUAUAGCGUGACAAAUACUGUUCCUGCAUUCAAAGUAGUUUGAACAGUACCAAUGCAAGCAUGCUGGUAUUGUAAAAACCUGGUGUCUAACAAAGCUAUUCUUGCUACAACUGGCAAGCCUUUUCGACCGUGAAAAGUCAGAGCAAGACGAACAGCUCCAUAAUGGACAUGAGUGUAUCCCUGUUGAGCCCAUUGUCCGGGAAAUUCUGGAGGGAUCUGGAGAGUAACAAAAUAUUCCUUUUCAGUAGCAGGAAUAGGAUGCUGGUCGAAUUUGGAGGACUGAACGUACUCCUUUACUUGCUUUGGGGUUUGGUGAAUAAGUUGGCGGAUAGAGCGAAUAGGUGAAAAUGAUGAGGUUGGCUUUGCAAAAGCAGAAUAAGGGUUCAUGAGAGGGAGUUGGGUUUCAGAAAUCUUGGUUUCAUCACUAAGAGAGACUUCAUAAAGAUAGUCUAUCUUAGAAGCAUUAGAGAUACGAAACUCAGGAGGUGUUUGGCCGAAGUGGCACUCAAGUGAUCCGUAUUUCUUCGAAUGUGGCACUUAAGUGUACAUUUCGUAAGUUAUGGCACUUGAAGCCUUCUUUUGCCCAUUUGUUUUGUUGCACUUUGCCCAUUUGUUCUGUUACUGCAGGAUAACUUUAAUCUGGUGUGAAACAAUUCCCGUCUUCUUUAUCCGUGAUGGGAAACCAAACCCCAAAUCCCACGUCCAGGAGAACUGGAGGAUCCUAGACGUUCUCGCCCACCAUCCGGAGAGCUUGGGCAUGUUCACCCUCCUCUUUGAUGAUACUGGUAUUCCACAAGAUGAGAGGAACAUGACGGGCUCUGGAGUUAACACCUACGCUUUGAUCAACAAGGCCAGAAAAGCACAUUAUGUGAAGUUUCACUGGAAACAAACUUGCGGGGUCAAGAGCUUACUGGAGGAAGAGGCGAUUAGAGUCGGGGGAUCCAAUCACAGCCUUGCGACUCGGGAUCUUUAUGAUUCCAUUGCUGCUGGAAACUAUCUUGAAUGGAAACUUUUCGUUCAGAUCAUGGAUACUGAUUAUAAAGACAAAUUUGACUUUGACCCGCUUGAUGUGGCUAAGACCUGGCCCAAAGACAUAUUGCCCCCUAAUGCUAGUUGGCCGCUUGGUCUUGAAUAAGAACAUUGAUAACUUCUUUGCUGAGAAUUAACAGCUUGCAUUUUGCCCUUCAAUUGUGGUUCCUGGCGUCUACUACUCAGAUGAUAAGCUGCUCCAAGUUCGUAUUUUCUCAUAUUCUGAUGCUCAGACGGACCGUUUUGCACCAAAUUAUCUUCAACUCCCUUCUAAUGCUCCUAAAUGCGCUCAUCACUACAGUCACCACGAAGGUUUCAUGAAUUGCCAUGCAUAGGAUGAAGAGGUAAGAAUUUUCUUUGAAUCCUUCCUUAGCAAUACUCUGGCAGCAUCUGUUGUGGAUUUUUUGUUGAUGUAACCAAGUUAGACAUCACGCUCUCCUAUAAGUAUGAAGGCCUAGUGAUGCAUUCUGACAUGUCAAUUGUGGAUCCCAAAGUGGCGGUGCAAACCCUCCUUUUGUUAGAGGAUUACCUUCUUGAUUUUUCUACUGCCCUUUGUGCCUGAAACAUGCAUGUUUACAUAUGUAGGAAAUACCUUUCUGCUAUCACGUAAAAUGAUUAUCUGUUGAGCAAAUGUUUAAUUUCCCUUUUGCAGAUAAACUAUUUUCCUUCAAGGUAUGAUCCCGUUCGUCAUGCGGAGAGAUAUCCCAUUCCAACUGCUAUGCUGACUGGAAAGCGUGAAAAAGGUAUGUUUUGUAGGAUCUCUUUUACUUGGAUAGAGAUUGAUUGUCCUGAGGUGCUUUCAUGGUGAUAUCCAUGGGAUAUACUCAACUUGUCCUAGAUGAUCAAUUGAAUUGCAGUGAGUGGUAUGACUGAUGUAUGUGUGUUUGGAUCUUGUUAUCUUUUGUUUCUCCUGGCAGACCAACAUUGAGAAAGAGAACAACUUCAAGCAGCCUGGAGAGAGAUACCGAUCAAGGGCGCCUGACAGGUAUUCUUCAGUUGUGCAUCUCCUGAAAAUGGUUUGAUUGUCUCAUGUUUCUCAAUAAUCUGUCUCUAUCUUUCUUUUCUCAGGCAAGAGCAGUUCAUCUGCUGAUGGAUCGAUGCUUUGUCUGAACCACGUAUGACUCAUAAGAUCCACAGCAUCUGGAUUUCAUAUAGGUUGGAGGUGAGAUGACCGUUCACUUCUUGUCUAGUCCUGAUGAGGCGAUUUAAAGUGAAAAAUGUAAUAGUCAACAUGCAGAGGGAUUUGGUUGUUGCUUGCUUUACGCUAUAUAUAUCCACGCAGAUGUCAUAAUAAACUCAUUUGUGAUUACCUGUGACUGCAACAGGCGGACAAAACGGUGUCUGAGCUAGAAACUCUAUUUUUGUUGCGGUAUAUUGAACUUGCCUUAUAAUACAAACUCUCUGGCGACAUGAUAUUCCUGAUUUAAUAAAUGCCAAUUGCAUGUGCUGAUCCUACUCCAUUGUGUUUGGUUAUUGCUUUCUCCAUUUACAUAGAAUAUCGAGUGAGCAGAUUGUACUGCCGGUAAUAUCAUCAUGCAUUUGAUUACGGGUGGUAAAAUCAACCGCCUCACUGCUCUCAAGUGCAUUGGGGAAAGGAUGUCAUGAAAUGCACCUUCUGCUAUGUUGGACGAGAAGUUAGAAUUCAGAGUUAAUUUGCCUCCAUUCUUUUGGCAGUGCAUUGUGCUUGAAUGACACUACCAACUCCUCGUUCCUGCAAACAAGAGAGUAAAUCAGUUUUAUUACAUUUAGCAAUACAGGUGUUAGCUCGUAGAGGAUGGCAUGGUAGGACUAUCUUCGGAUCUCUGCUUCAUAAAUGGGCAAAUUAACUUUGAAGGCGACUGAGCAAUUAGCAUGAUUAUACUGUCCCUGAAGAGCCAACCCCACCUGCAAACUGUACGCACAAAUUUGACCGUGAAGAGCCAACCCACCUGCAAUGCGAUCCUUGACAAAGAUUUAACAAGAGACUAGCCUUUAGAGUUGCUUUCUACUCGCAAAAUUCUAAUGCCUGAGUUGCAUAGCCUACUAAAUAACAGAUUUCAGCUCCGUCUGGUCUCAAGAAAUAAGUUAAAUCUCCAUCUCAAUGAGUCCUUGACACUGCAGAUGGGGAGUAUCGACUUCCAGAUCCAUAAGGACCGUCAGCACUCUGAUUGUGGCGAAUUGGUGAUCAAUGGUGGUUGUGAUGAUGCUGGUAAGAAGAAGGCCAGCUUGAUGCAUCCUCCCUGGUCUCCUGGUUUUUCUCCCAAAUGGUGUUGAUGUUUUCUAAUGUCGCCAGCACUUCCUCCAUCGAGGGCCUCACUUUAGGAUCGGCCUCCAGGCAUUUGAGGAUGAGCUUAGCCGCCUGAGUUGCAGCUUUCAAAGGGUAUUGACCUUUUAGUCUCGGAUCCAUUAUCUUCCUUAGCUUCCUCUUGUCGUGGAGCAACGGCCUUGCCCGUUCCACCAGAUUCUGCUGGCCGCUGGGGCGGGAACGGUCGACCACUCGUGAACCCGUCAACAUUUCUAGGAGAACCACCCCGAAACCGUAUACGUCACUCUUCACAUAGAGAUGUCCUGUCAAAUUGAGCCUUUAUCAUUCUGAAACGCAUUUUCUGCGAUCACACGAAAUAUUUGCUAAAAAUAAAGAAGCAUAUGAGAGGGAGAUCUCUAUGAAGAGCGCUGCAGUAAGAUCAUUUCGCAAAACACAUGCCUAGUAAUCGCAUCAAUCUGCUAAAGAACGUAGUUGUCACCGACCCAACAAUGCCUACUAAGAAGAAAGAUAGGAUCUGUGUCUUACCGGUGGCAAUGUACUCAGGCGCGGCGUAUCCAUAUGUUCCCAUCACUCGCGUGGUCACAUGAGAGUUCCUGUCCGCUGGUCCCAGCUUUGCUAGCCCUAAAUCCGAUCGAUCAUUUCGCAGAACACCUGCCAAGUAAUCUCGUAAUCUUCUAAAGAGCGUUGUUGUCACCGAUCCAACAUUGCCCGAGGAGAAGAAAGAUAGGAUCUCUGUCUUACUGACGGCAGAGUACUCGGAAGCGGCAUAGCCAUCCAUCUCAAUCACUCGCGUGGUCACAUAAGAGUUCCCACUCGCUGGCCCCUGUUUCGCUAGCCCGAAAUCCGAGAGCUUGGCAUUACUGUCCUGGCGCCACAACGAGAGAAAGUGAACAAAGUUUCUCAAUUAAUCCCUGAGAAUGGUAGUUCUACAUCCGUGUAUCAUCUAAUAAUCAUAGACAUACAUCAAGUAAAUCCCAUUCACAUGGACGACGUGAUCUAAAGACUGCCACAUAAAUCUAAAGUAUUCAAUGCAUCAAAUGUACCAAGGCGACACCAACAGAAAUUGAGAUGAUUUAAUACGAAAUUUGAGCUUCAUAUCGUUCACCAGGUGACGUGGGCGACAUUUAUACGGGUAUUCUUAAAAAUAAAUUCUCAAUAGCCGGGAAAAGCAUGUGAAAAUAAUCAAGUAGAUAGAAAAAUUUACCGCAUCCAAUAAUAUAUUCGAAGGUUUGAAGUCCCUGUAGAUGACGUUAUUCUCGGGUGCAUGCAAGAAAUUAAGCCCACGGGCAGCUCCGAUUGCUAUUUUAAGCCUCACGUUCCACGGAAGUGGUUCAGCUUCCCCUGAAUUACCAUAAGUUUCUCCAGUGAGUAAUCUUCUUUUCUUUUUUCUCUACGCAUUUUUUUCCUUGAUGUCUGAUAUCUGAGUGAAAAAAGGAGAGUAAUUAACUUAUAUAUAUAUGCGAAUGAUCUUACUUCUGAAAAAGUGAUCAUCUAAGCUUCCCCUCUGCACGUACUCGUAUACGAGGAGGUACUGAUUGUCUUCCCAGCAAUAACCCAGUAAUUUCACGAUAUUUGGGUGAGAAAACUUCCCCAAUAACUUAACUUCCGACUGUAGAAAGAUAAAAUAACAUAAUUUCAAUACACAUAGAAUUUUGUCAAUAUUUGAUUUCGCGAUGUUUUGUACGAUUAGUGUGAGUUCAAUUAAUUAUGCGGAACAAUUUGUUCUUUUUACAAAUAAGAAAGGUACAUGUUUACAGGUGAAAAUAAUGGGUAAAUUUGCAAAUUAUGGUUUGUAAUGAGACCAAUUUCUUAAAAAAUGAUUCAUAAUGAAUCUUCUUUCAAAUAAAGUUAUGAAAUUCUCAAUUCAAUCUCAAAAAAGGCCCAAGCUUACUAGUUGGCCAAAUCUUUGCCAACCGGUGAGCCCAUGCAUCUUUUGUGCAAAGCACAUGCUCAUCGGUAUAAAAAAUUUGGCCGACCAAUGAGUUUGGAGCCUUAUUUCCCAAAAAUCAUAUUACACUGUGCAUGACAUGGUGGAGUUUGUUUGAAAGGACAGGGUAAAUAAGCAGGAGGGUGGGUCAAUAGGCAACAAAGCACAAGUAAUUAGUCAAUUAACCCUUACUUUAGCCAAUAUGUGCUGGAGUCAACACCUAAUAUGAAAAUAGCAUCGACCCUUUAUCAAGCACAGGUUGUCAACUUUGGUGAAGGAAUGAGAGGGGAAAGCCGACCUGUCUCCUUCUCACUGGGUCGGAGAUUUUCCCUCUUUCACAAGUCGAAGGCGGCAACUAGGGCGGUGACUUUUAUAUAUAAAGACAUGAGGAGCCCUUUCGUGGAAUAGGAAGGCUGGAGCAAAGAAGAAGAGAGCUAACCUCCUGGGAGAGAGCAAAGGGGUGAGCCUCCGAAUAAUGCAAUAGAAUAGCUGAUUGUGUGCUUGUAUCAGCUAUAGCUUGCUUUUGAGUGUUUUAAGUGUGCUGAGAGAAGGUACAUUGUAAUAGUUAUGUGAGACUAUUUUGAACGUUAUACUUAUACCACAGUUUGGUAUAACAAGUGAGUCUUUAGUUGUUUAUAGUAAUUCUCUCGUGUUAUCACCACAACGCUUCCGCAUAUCCUAUAAUUAGUAUCAAAGCAAGGGUCGCAUAUCCUAUGAUAUGAACUCUUUUAGAGUCUGGUAGCCAGAUUUCCAGCACCCAGGAAGUUGAAAUAAUUUAUAUUUAAAAUAUUCUUUGGUCAAGAAUUGGACCCAAAGAAAAGAAAUUUAUAAUUAUUAUAAAUAAAAAAAAAGAAGGAAAUCCCUCAUUUCGAUAUGACCUUUGUAAUUGGGAAAAAAAUCUCAGUAUGCCCUCUCACUGAGGGGGGAGUCAACUCUGGCAUAGUUGUCGUCUAUGCUUCUUCUUAUCAUCGAUUAGCAUGUGCUUGCGGGAGAGGAUGGAAUUUGUGUAUGAUGUUAAAUACGCACCUCCCAUUCGUUCAUGCCCUGAAAGCUGUCGGGGUUGGACUUCUUGACGGCGACCGGGAUCCCGCUGCCGACCUUGGACGGGGCGAGGGUCCUCUCGUCCACCCAACCCAUGAACACCUCCCCGAACCCGCCCUCCCCGAGCUUCAUGUCCCCCCUGAAGUUCCUGGUCGCGCUCUUCAGCUGCGCCAGUGUGUACAUCUUCAGGCAGGGCGUUAUCACCUCCCCGGCUUUCACUGCAGCUAGAGCUUCGUCCAUGCCACCACCACUCGCCGUCGCCAACUUCCCAAUCUCACUUCUCACCAAUGCAUCUCGCUUUACCUUGGGCUUCUUCGCAAGAGCUUCUACAACAGCCACAAAAAAAAAACGUGACACGUGAACUCAGCUUAUAUUCAUCGGAAACGGAAAGUAAUGAUAAUUGCUAUUAGAUAAAUAUGUAGUUUAUUAGUUAAGUAUUUUAACAUUAUUCCUCACAAGUAUUUUUUUUUUUCAUUCAUUUCCAUAAAAAAUAGAGAGAGAAGUAACGGAGUCCAAGUGAAAGCCAAGACUAAUCCCAAGUAGUUUCAAAGCAUAAAUUCCCAAUAAUAAGAUAAAUUAUCAUAAUAAAGUUUGGGGGUACAAGUUCAAAGAGCAUAUAUGUGAUUUCUUCAAAUCAAAAUUGACAGUUGAUCACUAAAUCUGUUUCUAGUAAUGAACACACAUUGAUAACUCUAUCUAUUGCUACCGUUUUGCCUUGUAACAUGUGCGUUUAGAUUCAGGUUCCCAACACAAUGGUCGUUUGAAUCAUGAGAGCAAAAUUUUCAUGAUACUCUUCUGCGAAACUCAGGAACAUACACGCAAAAAUCUCAAUAGUUGGACUGAAAAGAUUUGAACACUUGAGUUCCUACUUUGAUAAUGUAAGAUAUUAUGAUAUUAUUGUCAAUUGUUUAAAACAGAACGGCCGGCCUACGUGAUGAUCAACUGAAACCGAUCCUUUUCCCCGGCAAUUCCUCAUGGUCAACGACGACGACGAUUAAGAAAACGCGUCCAGAAACUCUCUCUCUCUCUCUCUCUCUCUCUCUCGUAUCUCUUUUGACAUAAAGCGGCUCUCCCUUUCCUAAUUUGGUGGCUGAAUGGUAGCUGGAGGGGGAUGUGAGGUUCGAGGAAAAGGAGAAGCAGCUGCAGAGAAGCCAAAGAAAAGAGAAACAAAAUCUGCUCGGUGCCAGGCCAGCAACCACAAGGCCUUGACUUUUCUGCUUCCAUCUCCAUCAAAUUACCAAAAAACUUAUAAACAUAUUACACUAUUAAUUCCAAAUUUUUCAAUUAAACUCCAUCUGAUUAAUUUUAAUCGGAAAUCACUAACAUGUGAUAGACGAUGAUGCGGAUAAUUUUUUACUUUUCAUUACUUAAUUUGUUUUUUUCCUUUUUAUUACUUGAUUUGGCAAUGAAUUAUGAGAGAUCUUUAUAUUCAUUUAUACCAAUUUGUCGUAAAUACUAAAUAAUGAACAUAAUAUGAUAUGAAAUUAUUCGAUUUUAUUACUAUAAUAGGAUGUAACAAAGUCUCUAAAUUAUAUAUCAUAUCCUAUCAGGGUGGAAGGACUUUGAUUGGCGCUUGAAACGUAUGAAUUUCGUCUUCUAUUAUACCAAUCACAAAAAUUGAAUAUGCACGGAAGAAAGAAGGCCCUUACUUCGAGACGCUGGCGGUCCUGUCAUAGCUUUGCUUCCAAGUUGGUCAGAAUUUAGGCCCAAUUUCCACUUCCGCUUUUCUGCCUGCCGAAUAGGCAUUUCCCAUCUUGAUCAACCAAGAAAUAAGAUGCUGACAGGGAGAUCAAGCCUACUUUUGCGACUAGAACAAAUGAUUGGCUGAAUCCAGAAAGCAUGUAUGCAAUCCCCACAUGAUCUCGAACCACAUCGUCCCCAAUAGAAAUAUCAUUGUUUCCAUCGAUUCUUUACUAGAAAAGACCAAUGCUCACAAAAAAGAACUACUCACCUUCUCUCCCAUCCCUCCACUCCUGGUGUCUGAAUCGGUUCUGGCCUGAGAGAAAGGCGCGGAGAGCACCGUUCUUGGGAAAAAUGGACAAGAACCUGUCUGGAUCCCAAUAGAAAUAUCAUUAAUUCCAUCGGGGUCCACCUCAGUCAGCUCGUGCUCACAAAAAUGUACUCACAUUCGCUACACUCUCGGUGUCUGAAUCAGUGCUGGACGAAGAGUAAGGCCAGUUGAACACCAUUCUUGGGAAGGAUCGGCAAAAAUCUAUCUAGAUCGAUUCUGAAACUGAGAUCCACAGCAACGAAGCCAUAGCAGAUAUAUGCGUGUUUCUAGAUACGCAUUUAGAUUCUGAUGCAUCAAAAGGGACGGAAACUUCCUGGUUGAAAUAGACAAUUAAAAGGAAAAAGAAAAGAAGUGUGCUUUUUCGAAGAAACUGCGGAAGCGGACAAAUAGUAAGUCAACCUGGCUGGUUCUAGCAAAGUCGAGCCUCCCCAUGGCCAGUGAGGUCACCUCACCUCUGGCCCGUCGCCAGCGAUAAUUCCGAGUCAAGGCAUAUUGGAGUUUUCUGGCUUUUCAUCCUUAUACAUCAUUCUACUGUUGGUGUGUAGCCAUUAGCAUGUGCAUAGGAAGAAAUUACUCGGUGAACUACUCUGAGUCAAGGCAUAUUGGAGUUAAAAAUAUGCAGAGAGACGCAAUAGAACCUAAUUUUAGAGUAAUGCUAAAUGUGGAAUAUGCUUAUGGCAAACUAUCAUCUACGUCACAGGUCCAAUUCUUCUUGACGAAUAUCACCUUGUGGAGAAACUUGCCAACUUUGAUAGGGAGAGGAUUCCAUAGAGUGCUGUCCAUGCCAGGGGAGCCUGUGCAAAGGGAUUCUUUGAGGUCACUCAUGACAUUUCUCACCUUACCCGUGCUGAUUUCCUUCAGGCACCAGGAGUUCAAACACCUGUGACUGUCCGUUUCUCCAUCCUCAUCCACGUAAGGAGCGGCCCUGAAAGCCUGAGGGACCCCCGGGGUUCUCAUGUGAACUUCUACACGAGUGGUGAGGGUCGUUCUGGUAGUAGACAUGAAUGGGCAGCAUGGACGGGCACGAGUAUGAUGCUCCCUGUGAUGAAUCCUUUCACAGGUGGCCUAAACUCGACCGAUGCAUAUGGCAGUUCUCUUGUCCACAUUGCAUAUAUUUGUUUUGUUGUACUUUGCUAUGUGAUCUUACCUUUUCUGUUACUGCAGGGUAACUUUGAUCUGGUAGGAGACAAUUUCCCUAUCUUCUUUAUCUGCGAUGGGAUGAAAUUCCCGGAUAUGGUUCGUGCACUUAGACCAAACCCCAAAUCCCGCGUCCAGGAGAACUGGAGGAUCCUUGACUUUUUCUUCCACCAUCCCAAGAGCUUGCGCUCGUUCACCUUCCUCUUUGAUGAUAUUGGUAGUGCACAAGAUUACAGGCACAUGCAGGGCUCUGGAGUUCACACCUACACUUUGAUCAACAAGGCCAGAAAAGCGCAUCAUGUGAAGUUUCACCGGAAACCAACUUGCGGGUCAAGAGCUUGCUGGAGGAAGAGGCAAUUAGAGUCGGGGAAUCCAAUCACAGCCAUGCAACUUUGGAUUUUAUGAUUCCAUUGCUGCUGGAAACUAUCCUGAAUGGAAACUUUUCGUUCAGAUCCUCGAUCCUGAUCAUGAAAACAAAUUCGACUUUGGCCCACUUGAUGGGGCUAAGACCUGGCCCGAGGACAUGUUGCCCCUAAUGCCAGUUGGCCGCUUGGUCUUGAAUAGGAACAUUGAUAACUUCUUUGCUGAGAACGAACAGCUUGCAUUUUUGCCCUUCAAUUGUAGUUCCAGGCGUCUACGAUUCUGAUGAUAAGCUACUCCAAACUCGUCAUCUCAUAUUCUGAUACUCGGAGGCACCGUCUUGGACCAAAAUAUCAUCAACUCCCACCCCCCCCCCCCCCCCCUCCUUUUCCCCCCCAAUACUCGUAAAUGCGCUCACCACAACAGUCACCCUGAAGGUUUCGCGAAUUUCAUGCAUAGGGAUGAAGAGGUAAGAAUCGUCUUAGAAUACUUCAGCAGCGAUGCUCUGGGCAGCAUCUCUUGUGGAUUUUGUUUUGAUGGAACUAGACAUCGUGCUUUCCUAUAAGCAUUGUAGGCGUUGUGAUGCAAUCUGACAUGUCAAUUGCGGAUCCUAAAGUGGCAGUGCGAAUGUCCUCCCUCUUUUUGAGGAAGAUUACUUUCUUGAUUUUGCAAAUGCACUAUGUACCUGAAACAUACAUACAUGUUUACAUAUGUAGGAAAUGCCUGUCUGCUAUUAUGUAAAAUGAUUAUCUGUUGAACAAAUGCUUAAUUUCCCUGUUGCAGAUAAACUAUUUUCCAUCAAGGUAUGAUCCCGUUCGUCAUGGAGAGAGGUAUCCCAUUCCACCUGCUAUGCUGACUGGAAAGCAUGAAAAGGUGUGUUUUUAGUUAGGAUCUCUUUUACGUAAACAGAGAUCGAUUGUCUUGAGGUGCUUUCAUGGCGAUGUCCAUGGGAUAGACUCAGCUUGUCCUAGAUGAUCAAUUGAAUUGCAGUGAGUAGUGUGACUGAUGUAUCUGUUUGGAUUUUGUUUACUUUUGUUGCUCCAAACAGACCAUCAUUGAGAAAGAGAACAACUUCAAGCAGCUUGGAGAGAGAUGCCGAUCAUACAGAUAUUCUUCAGUUGCGCAUUUCCUGAAAAUAGUUUGAUGGUCUCAUGUUUCUCAAUCGUCUCUCUCUGUUUUCUUUUUUCAGGUAAGAGUGGUUCAUCUGCCGAUAGAUCAAUGCUUUAUCUAACCCACGUGUGACUCAUGAGAUCCGGAACCUCUGGAUUUCCUGAUUUUUCAGGUAAACUCUGUUCCAAUGCUUAUUUUUGUUGCGGUAUAUUGAACUUGCCUUGCAAUACAAACUCUACGGCAACAUGAUAUUCCUGAUUUAGUAAAUGUGAAUUGCAUGUGCUGAUCUUACUCCUUUGUGUUUGUUUACCGCUUUCUCCUCGAGUCUCAUUCAGAUGGAAUAUCAAGUGAGCAGAUUGUACUGCCGGUAAUAUCAUCAUGCAUUUGAUUACGGGUUGUAAAAUCAACCGCCUCACUGCUCUCAAGAGCACCAGUGGAAGUUUGUUGGGUAAUGCACCUUCCGCUAUGUCAGACGAGAAGUUAGCAUUAAGAGUUAAUUUACCUACUUUCUUUUGACAGUGCAUUGUGCUUGACACUACCGACUUAUCGUUUCUGCAAACAAGAGAGUAAAUCGAGUUUUUUUACAUUUAGCAGUAAAGGCGUUAGCUCGUAGAGGAUGGUGCGCUGGGACUAUCUUCUGAUCUCUCCUUCAUAAACGGGCAAAUUAACUUCGAAGGCGAUUGAGCAUGAUAAUAUUGUCCCUGAACUUGUAAGACCAGAAGAUCUUCCAUAAGUCAAUCUCGGAAAUAAUUCGAAUGCGUAUUCAGAGAAACGUUUGAUCGUGUUUGGAACCCCAGUCUAGACAACUGUACACACAAAUUUGGCCGUGAAGAGCCUACCCCACCUGCAAAUAUUUAGUAAGAGACUAGCCUUUAGAGUUGCUUUCUACUUGCAAAAUUCUAAUGUCUGAGUUGCAUAUCCUACUAAAUAGCAGAUUUCAGCUCCGUCGAGUCUCAAGAAAUAAGUUAAAUCUCCAUCUCAAUAAGUCCUCGACACCGUGGAUGGGGAGUAUCAACUUCCAAAUCCACGAGGAGCGUCGGCAUUGUGAUUGUGGUUAAUUGGCAAUCGGUGGUGGUGAUUGUGGUGAUGUUGGUGAGAGGAUGGCCGGCUCGAUGUGCUCGCCUUGGUCUCCUUUCUUUUUCACCCGAAUGGUGUUGAUUUGUUCUAAUGUCUUCAGUACUUCAUCCGUCGAGGGCCUCACGUUAGGAUCGCCCUCCAGGCAUUUGAGGAUGAGCUCAGCUGCCUGAGUUGCAGCUUUCAGAGGGUAUCGUCUUUCUAGUCUCGAAUCCAUUAUCUUCCUCAGCUUCCUCUUGUCGCGGAGCGACGGCCUCGCCCAUUCCACCAGAUUCUGCUGGCCGCUGGGGCGGGUAUUGUCAAGCGCUUGUAAACCCGUCAACAUUUCUAGGAGAACCACCCCGAAACCGUAUAAAUCGCUCUUCACAUACAGAUGCCCUGUCAAAUUAAGCCUCUAUCAUUCUGACACGCAUUUUUUAUGAUCACAUGAAAUCUUCGCUAAAGAUAAAGAAGCAUAUGAGAGGGAGAUCUUGAUGAAGAGCGCUGCAAUAAGAUCAUUUCGCAAAACACAUCACAAGUAAUCUCGUCAAUCUUCUAAAGAACGUAGUUGUCACCGACCCAACAUCACCCAUUGAGAAGAAAGAUAGGAUCUCUAUCUUACCGGUGGCGAUGUACUCGGGCGCGGCGUAUCCAUAUGUUCCGAUCACUCGUGUGGUCACAUGAGAGUUCCCACCCGCCAGUCCCAGCUUUGCUAGCCCGAUAUCUGAGCGAUUUUGAUGAACAGACACUACAAUAAGAUCAUUUCGCAAAACACUGCCAAGUAAUCUCGUAAUCUUCUAAAGAGCGUGUAGUUGUCACUGAUCCAACAUUGCCCGCAGAGAAGAAAGAUAGGAUCUCCGUCUUACCGGUGGCAAAGUACUCGGGAGUGGCGUCGUCAUCCGUCUCAAUCACUUGCGUGGUCACGUAAGAGUUCCCGCCCGCUGGCCCCCGUUUUGCUAGCCCGAAAUCCGAGAGCUUGGCAUUGAAGUCCUGGUGCCACAACGAGAGAAAGUGAACAAAGUUUCUCAAUUAAUCCCCGAGAAUGGUAGUUCUACAUCCAUGUAUCAUCUAAUAAUCAUAGGCAUACAUCAAGUAAAUCCCAUUCACACGGACGACGUGAUCUAAAGACUCUUCCACAUAAAUAGAAAGUAUCCGGUGCAUCAAAUGUACCAAGGCGACACCAACCAAAAUUGAGAUGGUUUAAAGUGAAAUUUGAGCUUUGUAUAGUUUACUAGGCAACUUGGGCAAAAUUUAUAUGGUAUCCUUAAAAAAAAUUCUCGAUAGCUGAAAAAAGCAAAUGAAAAUAAUCAAGUAGAUAGAAAAAUUUACCACAUCCAAUAAUAUAUUGGAAGAUUUAAAAUCCCGGUAGAUGACGUUAAUCUCGGGUUUAUGCAAGAAUUCAAGCCCACGGGCAGCUCCGAUUGCUAUUUUAAGCCUCACGUUCCACGGAAGUGGUUCAGCUCCCCCUGAAUUACCAUAAGUUUCUCCAGUGAGUAAUCUUCUUUUCUUUUUUCUCUACGCAUUUUUUUCCUUGAUGUCUGAUAUCCGAGUGAAAAAAGGAGAGUAAUUAACCUAGUAAAAAAAAUGUAUAUAUAUAUAUAUAUAUAUGCGAAUGAUCUUACUUCUGAAAAGGUGAUUCUCUAGGCUUCCCUUCUGCACAUACUCGUAUACAAGGAGGUAGUGAUUGCCUUCCCAGCAAAACCCCAGUAAUCUCACGAAAUUCGGGUGAGAAAACUUCCCCAAGAACUUAACUUCCGCCUGUAGAAAGAUAAAAUAACAUAAAAUAAUUGUUAUUCAAUGCACAUAGAAUUUUGUCAAUAUUUAAUUUCGUGAUCUUUUGCACGAUUAGUGUGAGUUCGAUUAAUCGUGUGUAACAAUUUGUUCUUUUUACAAAUAAGAAAGGUACGUGUUUACAAGCGAAAAUAAUGGGAAAAUUUUCAGAUUAUGGUUUGUAAUGAGGCCAAUUUCUCAAAAAAUGAUUCAUAAUGAAUCUUCUUUCAAAUAAGGUUAUGAAAUUCUCAAUUCAAUCUCAAAAAAGGCCCAAGCUUACCAGUUGGCCGAAUCUCUACCAAAGAAAUGUUAUAUUCGUGUUACCAUCACAAUGCUUCAGCAUACCUUAUAAUUAGUAUCAGAGCAAGGGUUGCAUAUCCUACAAUAUGAACUCUUUUUGAGUCUGGUAGCCGAAUUUCCAGCGCCCAUGGAAGUUGAAACAAUUUAUAUUCAAAAUAUUCUUUGGUCAAGAAUUGGACCCAAAGAAAAGAAAUUUUAAUUAUUAAAAAAGAGAUCCCUCAUUUCGAUAUGACCUUUUUAAUUCGGAAAAAAAAAAUCUCAAUAUGCUCUCUCACUGAGGGGGGAGUCAACUCCGGCAUAUUGUCCAGGUCGUCUUUGCUUCUUCCCAUCGUUGAUUAGCAUGUGCUUGAGGGAGAGGAUAAAUUUUUUGUAUGAAUGUUAAGUACGCACCUGCCAUUCGCGCAAGCCCUGAUCGCUGUCGGGAUUGGACUUCUUGACGGCCACCGGGAUGCCGUUGCCGACCUUGGACGGGGCGAGCGUCCUCUCGUCCACCCAGCCCUUGAACACCCUUCCGAACCCGCCCUCCCCGAGCAUCGUGUCCGCCCUGAAGUUCUGGGUCGCCCUCUUCAGCUCCGCCAGCGUGUACAUUCUCAGGUUGGGCGUUAUCACCUCCCCGGAUUUUUCCGUGGCCGGAGGUUCCUCCGCUCCGCCGCCGCCACUCACCGCCGACAACCUCCCAAUCUCGCUCCCCACCAAUGCAUCUCGCUUUACCUUGGGGUUCUUCACAAGAGCUUCUAAAAAAAAAAAAGGGAAAUGAAAAACGUGGCAUGUGAACUAGCUUAUAUCCAUCGGAAAGUAACAAUAAUAGCUAUUAGAUAAAAAUGUAGUUUAUGAUUUAAGUAUUUUUAGCACUCUUCCCCUACAUUUUUUUCUUUCAAUUCAUUUCCAUAGAGAGAGAGAGAGAACGCAGUCUAACUGCAACUCAAAACUAAUCGCAAGCAAUUUCAAAGCAUAAAUUCUCAAUAACAAGAUAAAUUAUCAUAAUAAAGUUCGGGGUACCACGUUCAAAGAGUAGAUAUAGAUAUGUGAUUCCUCAAAUCAAAAUCGACGAUCAAUCACCAAAUUCAUUCCAGCAAUGAGCACACACUGAUAAUUCUAUCUAUUGCUACCGUUUUGCCUUUCAACAGUGUGCCUCUAGGUUCAGGUUCCCCACCCUGAUAGUCAUUCAGUUUAUGAGAGGAAAAUCCUCAUGAAACUCUUCUGCGAAGCCCGAAAACAUACGUGCAAAAAAUCUGGACUGAAAAGAUUUGAAACUCGUAAGUUCCUAUUUUGGUAUUAUGUAAGAUUUUAUGAUAUUACUGUGAAUUGUUCUAAACAAAACAACAGGCCUAUGUGGUGAUUCACCGAAGCCGAUCCUUUCCCCCGGCAAUCCCCCACGGUCAACAACAACGAUGAUUAAGAAAACGCGUCUAGAAACUCUCUCUCUCUCCGUGUGUCUCUUUUGACAUAAAGCGGCUCUCCCUUUCGUCUUUCGGUGGGUGAAUGGUAGCUGGAGGGGGUUGUGAGGUUCGAGGAAAAAGAGAAGCAACUGCAGAGAAGCUAAAGAAAAGAGAACCAAAAUCUGCUCGGUGCCAGCAACCACAAGGUCUUUACUUUUAUGCUUCCAUCUCCGUCAAAGUACCAAAAAAAUUAUAAACAUAUUACAUUAUCUGUUAUACUUUGUUAAUAUGUCCACAAUGAGACGCGAUUAACAUACACCAGUUCAUCCUGAUAUGUUAUGANNNNNNNNNNNNNNNNNNNNNNNNNNNNNNNNNNNNNNNNNNNNNNNNNNNNNNNNNNNNNNNNNNNNNNNNNNNNNNNNNNNNNNNNNNNNNNNNNNNNAACUCUCAAGUAUGGGAGCCGGAAUUCCGGCGCCCACCGAAGUGGAAACAAUUUAUAAUUAAAAUAUUCUUUGGUCAAGAAUCGGACCCGAAAAAAGAACUUAAUAAUUAUUAAAAGGAAAUCCCUCAUUUCGAUAUGACCUCUUUAAUCCGGAAAAGAAAAUCUUUAGUGUGCUCUCUCCUCUCUUACCGAGGGGAGUCAACUGUUGCAAAUUGUCCAGGUCGCCAUUGGCUUCUUCUCAUCGCUGAUUAGUAUGUGCUUUAUUUUCAUAUUCGAGUGAGGAGUAUUGUCACGUAUAGAUCGAGCGGGAGAGAAUGGAAUUUUUGUAUGAAUGUGAAGACAGUUAUACUAAACCAUGCCUACAUGUAAUUAAGCAUUACUGAUUUAUGGUUUUCAAGAUGAUCGGAAUACCGCCGGGUCGAGAAAAAUUUGUCCGCCUGUGGCUUCUGUUACUAUUGAUUUGCCCAAUGUUCUCAUUUCCACUCGGGAAUCUCGAGAGGUUGCAAAAGUCCUUCAGACUUGCAGUACUGUGCCUUCACUUGCAAACCCGCCAUUCGCGCAUGCGCCUUGAUGGCUGUCUGGAUUGGACUUCUUGACAGCCACCGGGAUCCCACUGCUGUACUCGGACGGGGCAAGGGUCCUCUCGUCCACGAAGCCCUUGAAAACCCUUCCAAACCCGCCCUCCCCAAGCAACGAGUCCGGCCUGAAGUUCUGGGUCGCGCUCUUCAGCUCCGCCAGCUUGUACAUCUUCAAGUUGGGCAUUAUUACCUCGCCAGCUUUCGCCACAGCCGGAGCUUUGUCCAUGCCACUGCCACUGCCACUUGCCACCCCCUUCUUGUUCUUGCUCCCCACCAACGCAUCUCGCUUUGCCUUGGGGUUCUUAGCAAGAGCUUCUACACCCUAAGAAAAAAAAAAGUGACAUGUGAACUUAGCUUAUAUCCAUAGAAAAGUAAACGAUAAUAGAUAUUAGAUGAAAGCAUGAUUUAUUAUUUAAAAUUUUUAACACUCCAUAUUUUUUUUAUUCAUUUCCAGAUUUGCGGGGUAAAUUCUGAUGCAUUAUAAGGGACGGAAACUUCCUUGUUGAAAUAGACAAUUAAAAGGAAAAAGAAAAGAAGUGUGCCUUUUCGAAGGAACUGCGGAAGCGGACAAACAGUCAGUCAACCUAGGCCGAAAUUUGUCACUCCUUACACUGUUCUUCCCGGUGACCCGAGUGUCGUCAGUGCUGCCGCUCUUUGGCCUCACCUCGGAAGCCAGCAUCAAGUACCAUAUAUGGCUCGGCCACAUCGUCAUGGUCCUUUUUACCACGCACGGGCCUCGUUUACAUCCUCUAUGGGCUCUCACUCAUAGAAUCUCCNNNNNNNNNNNNNNNNNNNNNNNNNNNNNNNNNNNNNNNNNNNNNNNNNNNNNNNNNNNNNNNNNNNNNNNNNNNNNNNNNNNNNNNNNNNNNNNNNNNNNNNNNNNNNNNNNNNNNNNNNNNNNNNNNNNNNNNNNNNNNNNNNNNNNNNNNNNNNNNNNNNNNNNNNNNNNNNNNNNNNNNNNNNNNNNNNNNNNNNNNNNNNNNNNNNNNNNNNNNNNNNNNNNNNNNNNNNNNNNNNNNNNNNNNNNNNUUUUGUUCGUUCUUUCGCAUAUAUAUUAUAUUAUUUGUUCAUUACUCUAUCGACGUCACUGCUGGGGUGGCACCGAGACGGUGCUUUGGAUCGUACGACACCAGGUCGGGCCCACCACCGUGUUGGAUGGUCAGGAUCGUCGGGCGAGUUUGACCGGUGCUCAGAAAAAGCGGGCCGGGGGGGUGGGGGCGGGCCUAAGAAAUUUCACACAUUUGGGCCCCACUAGAAUUAUGGCGGGGCCCACCUGACUGACCCCCUAGGCACAGACUCACGUGGUCUCUCUUUUUUUAAGAAUUUCUUCUGUUUUUUUCCCCCAUUGGAAACCCUUCUCAUGAGCUUUAUUAAAAUAAUUAAUAUCAUGAAAAAUCAUAAUCUAUAAAUUUAUCUCAAAUUAAUACAAUAUUCUAAUUUAUCUUCUAAUUAGUACAAUAUGAUAAAUUUCCCUCUCUUCUUAGAUAUGUUGAGCUUAAAACAGUCAUGUGUCACGGCCCGAAAGUUGAUCGAUCGGCCCGUGACACAUGCAUGUUCAUAAAGAGUGACUUUCUUCCUUUUCAAGCAAUGAUGCAAAUAGAAAACACAGAAGCAAAAGUAUAUAUUGUGACAUCAGAUUCCUAAGUUGAGAUCACUAAUUUUAUUUUAAUUGUUUUGGUCAGGGUAUACAAAAGAAAGGAGUAGUAUCGUGGUUAUUGGGCUUAGUGUGCACACAACUCCUGUGGAGAUGUGUGAGAAACUUGCCAUUCCAGAGGCAGAAUGGCCUCGAGCCAUUGGAGAACUCUAUAGUUUGAAUCAUAUAGAAGAAGCAGUUGUCCUUAGCACCUGCAACAUAAUGGAGAUAUAUGUUGUCGCUUUGUCUCAGCAUCGUGGGGUUAAAGAAGUGAUUGAAUGGAUGUCUAAUGUGAUUUACUUUUGCUCCUUGCCAUGACUAUAAUUUGGAUUCUUGCAAUAAUUAAUUGCCCUAUGAUACUUGUUUUAUGGAUGAAAAGCACUAGUUUCCUUUGAGUUCUUGUUAAUUCGGGAUUCUUCCUUCUUUGUUUUCUCUUCUUCUCUGGUGAAUGGAAUCCCUAUUUCAGAGUUUUGUCAACACCGGUUUUUGUUGUACAAUGGGGAUGCUACACAUCAUCUUUUUGAAGUCUCAACAAGUCUUGAUUCUCUUGUCCAUGAAGAAGGACGAUUUCCUGGACUAAAUGGGUAUACUUGUUGAGUGAAAUGUGAUGUGAGGUAUAAAGACUAUAGUAGAACAUUCAGAUGAGAAGAUAAGUUGUUAGCAUACUUUAUCACGAUUUCAUAUGCUUAUGGCUGUAUUUACAAAUCACUAUAGUCAAAAAAAUACUUAAAAUCACUAUACUGCAUGUAGGACCAGAUAUUCCUUCUGGGAACAAAUUAAGAUUGGAAAAGCAAAAAGCAUGGCAGUUUUUGAUCCAGACCAGUUGCCCAUGAAACCCAGAAAGUCAAAAGUGAAGCUUUCACUUCUUUUUGAAACCCAACUAGAUUGGAAGCAAUGCAAAACUCGAGCCAUUUCCAGGCUCAACUGGGACAAGCCCACGAAAGAAACCAUGUCUCGGGACGCCAUCCUCCUUCCAAAGAAUUCUCUCGCAACGUUCCGAGCUCCCGUCCUCGUCAUCGCUUCUUAUCCUCCCUGGUUUCUUCUUGCUUGACUUCUCUUCGAAGAGAAGUCAUCUCGCUUUUGAUGAUGUGAUAAUUUCAGGAGAGUGAAAGGGCUAUAACAAGGGAAGAAGGAAGAGAUCUAGCUCAAAGAAAUAGAUGUUCAUUUCUUGAAUGUAGCGCAAAAACUAGAGAGAACGUCAAUCAAUGCUUCAAGGAGCUUAUACAAAAGGUAAGCCGUCCCAAAAAAAAAAAAAAAAAAACCGAAAACCAAAAGUUGAAAACCGAAAAACCGAACCGAACCAAACCGAAAUUUCUGUUCGGUUCGUAAUCGGUUCGGUUCGGAAAUUUUUUUAACAAUUUGGUUCGGUUCGGUUUUUCAAAAAAACUGAAUUGAAUCGAACCGUUUACAGCCUACCUUAUAGGCCAGGCAUCAUGCCCUCGCAUUCUAAAGCUUUUGUAGUCAAAGUAAGGGUGUUUUCGAAAGGAAAAAAAAAAAAGUAAGGGUGUUUUGUGAGAAUUUCUCCACCGAUGAAGUAUCGUUCACCAAAGAUAAUUGAGACAGGUUUUGCCUUAGACAGGAAACAUCAAUAACUUCACUUCAAACCAAACUGUACAAAUAUAAACCGUGUCGGAAUUUAGUCAACAAUAAAACUUGGAAAACUACAACUUCAACAGAACCAAACAUAAACAAACUAUACUGGAAUUUAAUCAACAACAAAACUUAAAAAUACAAAGAUGUUGCACCUAGGACACAACACCUAGGAUAAAGAUACAUGCCAGCAUUUAAUUGACAAUGCGGAUCCGAAAACUACGGCUAAGAAAAAAGCCAGGAUUUAAUCGACGAUGCAAGUCGAGAAAAUAAAAGUAUAGUGCAAGAAAGUAAAGUAAAUUUGUUUGAUUUAUACAAGAGGAUUCUAGCAUACGGGAGAUGGUAUCUAUAGUGCAUACGCCAUAACUGUUCCUGAGCAGUUUUUUAGCAAUUGUACCCUUGUUCCUCUAUGUUUGAAAAUUUUGUGCCUAUAUUCUCAUGGUGACAUGAUCUUAUCUUCAUAUUGGCGUUCCUUUAAAAAAGUGUGCUUAUCGCCACUAGACCUUAAUCACUUCGUUUUUCAAAAACAUCACACUUGUACCAGCAACUUGAUGCCUCUUAUAUGUUUAUCUUUCUCCUGACACCUUGAUAACUUGUCGGUCUUGCUUAAUCAACAUCCUUAUCAAUCGUUAUUAACCAUACAUCAUAUAUCAACAACGAUCGGUGACAAAUCCUUGAUGUGCACCAAGACCAAUACUUUGUGGUUAUCGACGGUGGAUCACGUGCUUGACAAUAUUUGACGCUUCAAUCACAUGUCUACUCAUAUCGACAACCUAAUUACUUUUUUUGUGCAAACAAAGGGAAGUUGAUGACUUAAUCUCGAUUGGUCCCAGCUCACCGGCACAAAUCUUCUUGAUGAUUAUGUGCAUGUCAUAUGCCAUAUUUCACACCAUGGUCGACGGCAUUUUUAUCAUAAAUUGCCAAUUGGGGGAUACCAAAAAAGUCCUAAAAUUAUUGUAGUUGUGUUAAUUCAGUCAUAAAUUUUUUUCUCUAAUUAAAUCAUAAAUACUUUGUAUUUGAACCACCGCCCGCGGUGGAAGCGUUGGUUAGGGCUUGGUACCCCAAACGUAGGGGGAAGGGUUCGAACCUUCGUGGAAGCGAUGCUUCAAUGCAUAACGCGCGUCUUACCUGCGCUUGGGGGUCAGCGGUGGGGGCCCCCGGCCCUCCAGGGUUUACUCUCCCCGCGAAGCGGCGUUCGGAGGUUCCUUGGGUCAUCAAAAAAUAAAAAUAAAAACUUUGUAUUUGUAUUAAUUCAAUUUAUCCGAUCAAUUUUGAUUGGAAAUUAUUGAUAUAAACGUCAACUGACCGAUGUAGCUUGGCACGCACUAGCAUGAACAAUUUUUAAUAAUAUGUUUUUUUUAAUUAUUUAUUAAUUCUUUUAUUUCCUUUAUUACGUCUCUUUCUUCUUCUUUUUUCUUCCCUUCUUCUUCUUCUUCCUCUAGCCAACCGCUGACCACCAACUAGAGGCAAGGGCCAGCUAGGUCGACCUCGUUGGUUCUAACAAAGUUGAGCCUCCCCCAUGGCCAGUGAGGUCACCUCGCCUCUGGCCAGUCGUCAGCGGUCAUUCCGACUCAAGGCAUGUUGGAGUUUUCUGGCUUUUCAUCCUUAUACAUCAUUCUGCUGUUGGUGUGUAGCCAUUAGCAUGUGCAUAGGAAGAAAUUACUCGGUGAACUUCUCUGAGUCAGGGCAUAAACUAACCAAAUUCAUCAAGACACAAUAGAACCUAAUUUUAGAGUAACGCUAAACGUGGAAUAUGCUUAUGGCAAACUAUCAUCUACGUCACAGGUCCAAUUCUUCUUGACAAUUAUCACCUCGUGGAGAAACUUGCCAACUUUGAUAGGGAGAGGAUUCCAUAGAGUGUUGUCCAUGCCAGGGGAGCCUUUGCAAAGGGAUUUUUUGAGGUCACUCAUGACAUUUCUCACCUUACCUGUGCCGAUUUCCUUCAGGCACCAGGAGUUCAAACACCUGUGACUGUCCGUUUCUCCAUCCUCGUCCACGAAAGGGGCGGCUCUGAAACCCUGAGGGACCCCCGGGCUUCUCGUGUGAACUUCUACACAAGAGAGGUGAGGGUCGUUUUGGUAGUAGACAUGAAUGUGCAGUAUGGACGGGCAUGAGUAUGAUGCUCCCUGUGAUAAAUCCUUUCACGGGUGGCCUAAACUCGACCGAUGCAUAUGGCAGUUCUCUUGUCCACAUUGCAUAUAUUUGUUUUGUUGCACUUUGCUAUGUGAUCUUACCUUUUCUGUUACUGCAGGGUAACUUUGAUCUGGUAGGAAACAAUUUCCCUAUCUUCUUUAUCUGCGAUGGGAUGAAAUUCCCGGAUAUGGUUCGUGCACUUAGACCAAACCCCAAAUCUCGCGUCCAGGAGAACUGGAGGAUUCUUGACUUUUUCUUCCACCAUCCCGAGAGCUUGCACUUGUUCCCCUUCCUCUUUGAUGAUAUAGUGCACAAGAUUACAGGCACAUGCAGGGCUCUGGAGUUAACACCUACAUUUUGAUCAACAAGGCCAGAAAAGCGCAUCAUGUGAAGUUUCAAUGGAAACCAACUUGCGGGUCAAGAGCUUGCUGGAAGAAGAGGCAAUUAGAGUCGGGGGAUCCAAUCACAGCCAUGCAACUCAGGAUUUUAUGAUUCCAUUGCUGCUGGAAACUAUCCUGAAUGGAAACUUUUUGUUCAGAUCGUCGAUCCUGAUCAUGAAGACAAAUUCGACUUUGGCCCACUUGAUGGGGCUAAGACCUGGCCCGAGGACAUAUUGCCCCUAAUGCCAGUUGGCCGCUUGGUCUUGAAUAGGAACAUUGACA